AUUGUUACAUGUGUAUAUGGAGCUUGCCACAUAUAGAGUUUUUGAGUUACUGGCCAACCACUGAAAUCAGGUGCGCAACCAACGUUUACAUUCUACCAUUAACCAAACUCAGAACAUAAAAGUAUCCUAACAACAACAAAAGAUGCUCAGACAAGUAGGAUUUCGCAAGAUCGGUUUGCAUCUUUUCCUUCAAGUCCACCACCAUCAGAACUCAGAGAAUCUUCUACCUCCUCACGCUUGUGUAUAUAAAAGAUUUUAGCUUCUUGAAGCUUGAUGGAUCUGGUAACUUCUCCAAAGAUUUAAAAGAACCUAUCCAAAGUUGCCUCCAACGAUUUUAGUCUGCCUUCGAUCUCAACCACCCUAGGACAUCACUGCAGAGAAAAUUUCUGGAGCUUCUUUAAGUUGGUCGGGACAGGCAACUUGUCCAUAGAUGGAACUCCUCCAAGCUUUAAGGCACUCAGGUUCUCCAAAACUUGGAGGCCUCUGAACUCUCCCACUUUAAAGCAAUGAGCAACUUCCAAAUCUGACAGUGCCUUCAAAUUUGAAGGGUCUAUUGAUGUUUUUAUUUCCCUGCAUGAUUCGGUAUCUAAGCACAGCAAAUUUGGGGGAAGGCCAGGUCGGCAUUGCAGCUUCUUGGAGAGGACCAUUUCCGGUUCCUUGAGCUGUGAAAGAAGAAUGAUGUGUGAAGAUGGGUGAUGAAAUAAUGAGAUUCCAACAGCAAGGAUUCCAGCUUCCCUAACCUUCUAAGCUACGAAGGACUUGGAGAUUCAAUGAAUUUAGAAGCAUCAUGGAAAUUGUCAAAACCUGAAUGUUACAUACAAUUUGAAUAUCAAAUUAAUAAAUAACUUAACAUCAAAUGAAUGUCUACAAUGAGAUUCUAACAGCAAGGAUUCCAGCUUCCCUAACCCUGUACAGAAGAUCCACCUUAAAAAGAUAUGUAGAUGUGCAAAUCUAAACGUCUCUACUUCUAAAAUGGGAGGCCUACUCACUACUCGUCGACCUGAGAACACAAUAAUAACAAUUGGCAAAUAAGGUCACAUAUCAUUUAUAUGACCAAAUCUCAUCAUGCGUAGAUAUCAGUAGAUCAUCGAUAUACACAAGUAAAUAUUUAUUCUCUACUCGUUAAUAGCCACGACUCAUCUCGACUAAAUCAAUGUACAGCUGCUUAUUUAUGUGUGACUUAAUGGCCUCACCGUAAGUUGCAGUCUGCUUACGCACCACCCAUGGUUCAAUGCCAUAGAAAAUUGGUAUGAUUUUUUGUCCCCACUUUUCCUUGCACUCCACCAUCUGGACCAAUUUCAUGAGGCACCAUUUACUAGCAGCAUAUCCUUCAGAAAAUAUAGGAAUCGAGAUUUUCGACUGCUUAAUCGCUUGAAGAAGCUCCAGGCCAAUUUCUUCCCCAAUGCAAAGCUCUUCAUCAUCUCUGUAUGCUCAUAUUCUGGCAUCAAUGAGGCCGUUGUAAAGGACAUCAGUGAUGCCAUGGCGAGUAUCUGGUCCUCUGAAGCUCAAGAAUACUUCAUAAUAAGGUUCCACUGGCUUUUCCAUUUCCUGAAUUUUCGAAGGACUUGCAACGGCUUGAUAUCCCACCCGAAAAACAUUUACUAUGAAAGUGGGGUGAUGAUUAUCAUGAUUUCUCUCAGAAACUCUUCUGUUUUAAGUCAUUCUAAAAAGCAAUCUCGGUGACAAAUGCAUGAAAUCCUUCUGGCAUUGCACUAGACACCAAAAUAUGCCCAAUUAUAAUAGAGAAGUUGACCCAUCUAAAUACUAAAGGAAGAAAUCUCCAACUUAUUGCGAAAUUAUGGGUCUUAGUUCACACUUGAAAUUGAUUGGAAAAAGGAAAAUUUAGAGAAGAUAAAUCACUGUCGACAAAUUUUUGUCUUAAACUUUUUACUUACGAGAUAAAUUUUUUCUUAAAAGGUAAAGUUGAAUGUCCCCCUGCACAUAAGCGCCUAUUGUGGCUUGUAGGUCGACUAAUUAUCUUAUUAUCUCAUAAGAAGUUAUGCCGAAACCGUCCUCUUUUAGUUUUGCCAAAAUCAAUUUGACAAAAAGAUUCCACAACAGUCGAUUGGUUGCUUACUUGAACUUAAUGGGUGCAGGCAAAGAAUCGCAGUCCCCUAUGACUAAAAGUUAGGCACAAGGCUACUAUUCACAUCUGCCAGACAGCAUCAGCGUAUCAGAAAAAGAGGAGCGGAUUACUAAUCACUUGUGAAGUUGAUAAAAGUUCAACAGAAAAAAGAAGCAUGAAUGCUGUAACUAUUUUUCCAGCAAAAUAAGUUCGACCACACAGGAGUGCAGAGACGACAGCUGCAAUUUACAGAAGCGGAGAGUUCCGGUUCACCACAGAGUGCAACAUUAUAGUGUAUUCAAUCUGUCUCUACCGUUAAAUAGAGAGCUGAGGGUAUCAAUUUUCUACCGUUCUUAAUUCUAAUCGCUAGAAAUUAUGGUACCAAAAUAUCUUAAAGAUACGAGUAUCUCUGUUCAAAAAAAGAAAAAAAAAAACAUCAAACAAAUGAAAUCAACAGAUCCACUCAAAACUAAUUUAGCUUUUAGCGACAGUAAUUCACGCCAAAACUCAGAAGAGAGAGAGAGAGAGAGAGAGAGAGAGAGAGAGAGAACACGGGUGGCGAGCUCGCAAGACUGAGUGUUGUCGAUGAUGGAACCGGACUCGCCUCCGCCUUCGCUGCAGCUGCCGCCGCCGCCGCCGAGGAGCUCACUCUGAGGCUCGACACCGCUCGUCUCCGCUUCAGCUUCGUGCCGUCUUUUCUUCUUCGCCAUUCCUGCUCUCCGAUAUCACAAAGUUCCGAUUUUUCGACAAGGUACGAGGUCGACUGGUGAAGGGUUUAGGCGUCGAUGUUGGUGGUGGUAUUGCGUUUCAGGAUCUGAGGCCUGACAGUUGCAUAGAUGGAAGUGGAUGAGCAGGGCUUUAGCAUGAACGUUCUCGGCCUUUGAGAUCGGCAGAAGAGAGACAAAGACUCCUAUCAAACGGUGAAUUCAGCCUCCCUCGCCGGGCCUCAAAACGGGAGGCGGGCUCGGGCUACGCUACACCAAAACGGAAAGUUGAGUGAUAUGGACGGCCCUGAUUUCUCCGGCUACCGAAUGGAGAAUCCUCGCUGUCGACUGUCGAGUGAAAGGGCUGGUUAAGUUUCUUGGGCCUUAACGUUGGUGAUUGGAGAUGGGCAAGGCCCACAAUCCAUGUGGGGAAUGCAGCGCAUAAAACGAGCAGUCUGGCCCAAGGCCUUAAGAUCCACAGCAGAAGCAAUACGAAAAACCCUUCUACGUUGGAAGCUUAGCCUGGAUUCGAUAGUAACACAAUCGGGAGAAGAAAUAUUUGUACUGAUGUUUUCUGAUUAUUACAUAAGCAUAAGGAGCUUGCAAUAUACAGAGUUUUGAGUUGCCGGCCAACCACUGAAAUCAGGUGCGCAACUUACAUUUACAUUCUCUACCAUUAACCAAACUCAGAAGUCCAAGAGAUAAAAGUAUCCUGAAAACAACAAAAAGAUACUCGGACAAGUUGGAUUCCGCAAGAUCAGACUGCCUCUCUUCCUUCAUAUCCUCCACCGAUCAUCAGAACUCAGAGAAUCUUCUACCUUCUCACGCUUGUGUAUACAAAAAGAUUUUAGCUUCUUGAAGCUUGAUGGAUCCGGUUUAGUCUGCCUUGGAUCUCGACCACUUUAGGACAUCACUGCAGAUAAAAUUUCUGGAGCUUCUUCAAGUUGGUCAGGUCAGGCAACUUGUCCAUAGAUGGUACUCCUCCAAGCUUGAAGGCACUUGGGUUCUCCAAAACUCGGAGGCCUCUGAACUCACUUUAGGGCAAUGAAGCCGAGUUAUCCAGACAAGUGGAAAGGAAAGAACGGCUUAUACUGCGUGGGACUGUUGAGGAGAGGGUUCUUGGGAGCUUCUCUCGACGCCCAGGGGCAACUUCCAAAUCUGACGGCGCCUUUGAAUUUGAAAGGUCUAUUGAUGUUUUUAUUUCCCUGCAUGAUUCAGUAUCUAAGUACAGCAAAUUUGGGGGAAGGCCAGGUCGGCAUUGCAGCUUCUUGGAGGGGACCAGUUCCCGUUCCUUGAGCUGUGAAAGAAGAAUGAUGUGUGAAGAUGGGGUGACGAAAUAAUGAGAUUUCAACAGCAAGGAUUCCAGCUUCCCUAACCUUCCAAGCUACCAAGGACUUGGAGCUUCAAUGAAUUUGAAAGCAUCAUCGAAAUUGUCAAAACCUGAAUUUUACAUAUAAUUUGAAUAUCGAAUUAAUAAAUAACUUAACAUCAAAUGAAUGUCUACAGUGAGAUCCUAACAGCAAGGAUUCUAGCUUCCCUAACCUUGUACAGAAUAUUCACCUUAAAAAGAUAUGUAGAAGCACAAAUCUACAUGUCCCUAAACUCCAAACCAACCAAUAUGUAUAAUAUUUUUUAGGGAGUGAGUUUAAGUUCAGUAAAUGAAAGCUCUACUUCCAAAAUGGGAGGCCUACUCACUACUUGAACCGAGAACACAACAAUAACAAUUGGCAAAUAAAGUCAUAUAUCAUUAUAUGACCAAAUCUCAUGAUGCAUAGAUAUCAGCAGCUCAUCGAUAUACACAAGUAAAUAUUUAUUCCCAACUCGUUAAUAGCCAUGACUCAUUCGACGGACUCAACCAACAAGAUAUCGUAACCACUAAAUAAUGCAGGACGAAAUCAUAAAUACAUACCACACUUCAACCCAUUCAUCACAUGUAUCCUCCAACGAUGAUAAAUACAGUAGAAACACAUAACGAUGCCUAUUCGUGGACUCAUUCUCAUCAAGAUUCAUACCCAUUCUAUUUUAUUUCUUUUCUCAAUCUUGGACCUUAAAUUCAUAACGUCAAGUAUGGGCUAUUUAAUUCACAUUAUGUCACGGAAGUCAUAUCAUUUCACGUAUGAAUCAUUGCACUUCAUGUCCUCCAACCCUAUAGAGACCCACCCUAAACAGUAGAAUAAUCAUUUUCUCCAGAGUCUUAUAUACAUACACAGGAAAAUUAACUGCAGUGCUGGUAUAUUACUAACAACACUUGCAGAAUUUCCAUGGAGUUGGUAAUUUACUUAAUUAUUAGAAUAUUGGUAAAUUCCUAAUAGUCUUGUUCAUUCACUUACGACAAUGGUAAAAUUUCAAAGGAGUUGAUAAUUUACGACUUCCUUAUAUCGAUAAAUUUCUGAUAGUGUUAGUAAUUUAUUUAAUAUUCAGGUAGAAUAUAAGAAGAUUUGGUAAUUUACCAAAUUAGUGGAAAUACGAUAAAUUUAUGAUUAUAUUGAUAAUUUACAACUGAUUCACCAAACAAGCAGGUAACCAGUCUUUUUUUUUUUUUAAACCAGCAAAAUUGGAAUUCUACCAACACGGAAAAUUUUCAAUUUUCCAACCCACGGCACCGUAGAAUUUUGCCCGGAAGUUUCUACAUCUCUACUUCUUCGACAAGAACUUAAAUCCCAACUGAUAAUUUCAAUUACUGAAACUUGAUACGUAGUCAUUAAUCAUUCAUAAGCCCCUGUAGAAAUCUGUUUUAAGUUAUGAAAACUAAAGGACCUUUGAGACCAUUGCACAUGAUCAUUAACUAGGGAGGGUUAUGUUCAUGCUAGGCACAAUGUUUUGCCCCUACUUCUUCAUUUCUUCAAUGUGAAAUUUUCAUGGGAAAUCCGCAACAAUUCUGUGAAUAUGGUUGCUGAUGUCUAAUUGAAUUCGUGACACUGAAUGCAACACAUUGAACAUUAAAAUCUGCGAAUAAAUUCUGGAGCAAGUUAUCUUGAAUCCUCAAUGAAUUUCUCCCAUGACGAGAUUAAUUACUAAUUGCACCCGCUAAAAAUUUUAGAAGUAGGACCACAACAGAACAUAAAAAGAAGAAAGAAAUUGCAGAACCAAUCGAUUAUAGGAAGUUUUCAUGCCUUCCAGGACAAUAUUUCGGUUUCAGCUAGACCUUGACAAGCUCAGAAGAACAACUGAUUCCCCAUGUAUGUUUUGAACUAGUUCCUAAGGAGCGAAAAUCAAUCCCCUAAUUGGUGCAGAAGUUAAUUGACGCACAGGAGUAGCAAUGUGUUUCAUAGAAUGCGACUUGUGGUUUAGACCAAAGCUAUUAAAGAUUAGAAACAGAUGGAAAAAAAUCAAUCGAGUCAGCUCCCUAGUGAGUUCAUCGAAAGGCUGUUUUCAUUGCGUAUGAAUGAUAAGUCGUGACUGAAAAUAAUAAAAACAACUCGAUCCGUUCCAAAUCUUUUCCUAAUGCAUCACUGAUUGCAUCGAAGUUUCGCACGCGGACCCAAUUCAUGCAAAAUGCGAAGAGAGAAAAUUACCAGAGAAGGGAUUCAGGUGAAGAUGAAGAAAACUAAAUGAAGAUGGCAGAGAAGGAAGAACCCUCGUUGGCCUCAGUCAGCUGCAACCAAAAUGGAAAAGGAAGACCACGGUCUAUUAACCCUUCGUGGGAACAGAGCGGCAGGCAGGAAGACGUGGUCGCAGUCCCCGGAGGGAGAUCUCCGCUGGGUCGGAUCGCGUCUCGUGAUUCGGCUAGGAGUCGCCGUCGCUGCUGGCUCUGGGCGAGCUUCUCGCUCGGGUCGUCGCUGAUGAGGGGAGGAAGACGAAGUAUGGAGAACGCGAGAGGGCGAGAGAGAGAGAGAGAGGAAGAGAGAGCGCAACGGAAGAAAAAUGAAAGACAAAAAAAAACAAAAAGAGAGAGAGAGAGAGAGAGAGAGAAAGAGAGAGAGUUGAAAUUUCUUAAGAGUGGGGUCCCACUUACGCACGUCAUUUCGAGAUAAUAUUCCUCACCACUCCAGUUCGAUAUCUCUUCUCCGUGAUCCUCUGCGCACGUAACCAUGCCUGUGAUAUCCGCCUACUCUCACUUUUUUCAAAUAUCUGUACUCAUCGGAUUUUAGGAUCUCCUCCAAUUUUUCACAAUCUUCUAUAGACGAGUACUGUAGCUUCUUGAAGCUUGAAGGAUCAGAAAACUUUCGCAGGGACCUGCACUUAAAAAUAUCAAGUCCCUUCAAUGAUUCUAGCCUACCUCGAAUCUCAACUAGACAAGGACAAUCAUAUAAGUCAAGAUGCUCGAGCUCCUUGUUGUUGGUCAGGUCAAGCAACUUAUCUAGCAACGGAAGACCCCACAAACAUAAGUCUAUUAAGUUCUCCGAAUUUUCCAGGCCUUGAAUCUUUUUCAACUUCGGACAGCGAGAUAUAUCUAAGUUUUCUAUAUGCUUGAAGGUUAGUGGAUCAAGCAGCUUUGCAAGUGAUUCACACUUCUCUAAAUAGAGCUCCUUCAACGAUUCUAGAUGACCUCGAACCUCAACCAAUUUAGGACAACCAACUAUCGCAAGGCUCCAGAGUUUCUUCAAGCCUGUCAAGUCAGGCAACUUCACAAGCAAUGGAAGAUUAGCAAGGUCAAGCCUCUGCAGGUUUUUCAAAUGUUCGAGGUCUUGAAUCUUUAUUAGCUGUUCACAACCAUCAUCUUUCAAUUCUAAUAACUUCCCCAAAUAUGAAAGAUUUAUCGACAUUAACUGCUGCCCAACAAAAUGGAAGUAUGACAAAUUCUGGGGAAGCCAAGGUAGGCAUCCUAGGCUAUUUAGGACAAGUUUGAGCUUCCUAAGCUUCGCGAGGAGAUUAAAAUUUGAAGGUAGGGUGACUAGACCAUCACCACCCAACCACAAGGACUCUAGCUUUCUUAACUCUCCAAUCCAAUUGAGGCUUGGAGCUAGAUCAAAAGGGUUUUGAUACUUCACUUCCAACACCAAAACUCUCAAAUUUAAUAGGUUCGAGAGAUCUGGACAUCUCAUCCGUCGAUUACCGGUCAGGUAUAGUUCGGUCAUACUUUCAGGAAGCUUAGGUAUAUUGGAAAUUCCCGUUCCCGUCAACCUCAAGAUUUUUAGAAACGACAAUCUUCUGAUCUCAGUUGGAAUUUCCCCAUACAAAAAUUGACAAUCGCCAGCUUCAAUCUCUUCAAGCUCUUCCAACAUCCCAAGGGCGCUAGGUAGCUUUUCUAAGAUGGAGUGAGAGAGCCUUAGUACUCUCAAAUUCUUCAUUGUCUCUAUUGAGUUGGGUAACUCUCGUAUUUUCGUCCAACAAAGAUUCAACUCAAUGAGAGAUCCAAAAUUUCCAAAUGGAAGUUCACUAAUUCCGGUACUUGUGAAGUUAAGAUAUGAUAGUGAUGUUGAGCAACCAGCUAAAUUGCAUUCACUCAGUAAUCUACAAUAAGCCGCACCGAGAGUUUCCAAUUUCUCCAUUCCUUUCCAUUCAGGAAUGUUGGUAAUAGAUGUGUGAUCAACAAGAAGUUCCGUCAAGGCUUCCAAUUCCUCCAUCUCGUCUGGCAAUGUGUGAAGUUUCCCACAAUAUUUCAAGUUUAAUAACACUAAAUGCUUUAACUCACCAAUAGACCUAUCAACUUGAACCAGUUCUCUGCACCCUUCAAGAAUCAAUUGCUCUAACUUUUGAUGAGCGGAAAAGUUAGGAGUUCUAAGCAAGUUUUUGCAAUCGGUCAAAUUUAGAACCUUCAAAUUCUCUGCCGUCUGUAAUGAAGAGAAGAGGUUGAUUCUGAAUCAUUUAGAGAUAUAGGGAAGCAAAGUCAAUAGAACAAAUUCAUUUUGAAAUAAUACCAUACCUUGAGGUGGUUCCAUCCCUCCCACUCAUCUGAAAUUUUACUCCUUGAUAGAUCAACAAUCACUAGCUUCUUAAGAGAACGUGCGGUGAACUUGAAAAAGAUAGGAAAGUUAUGCCAUGAGAGCCAUCUCAAUUUCGGAAGCAUGAUUGGAUUCCUCUGGACCUAGUUGGUAGAAGGAAAAUGCUGACCGUUGGUCUCCUCCGAGUCUACACAAUCCACUUGAAGAAAUCUUAAUUUUGAUAAGAUAGAUUUUCCAUUCUCAAUGGAGUCUUGAAAUUGAUGAUUAAACAUGAGACGUAUUGCUUCAACAUUUUUUCUUCCCUGCCAAAAAAAUAAUAAUAUCUAAAACUAAAUAGAAGCUAGUGAUCAUAUAAUUGCUUGUUGAAGGCAUUCAAGUUGAAUACAUUUGAGGAAUGUAUAUCUUAUAUAUAAUUUAAAAUUAAUUUACAAUAUAAUUUACAAAUGAGCAUGUCAUCGUACUAAGCACACAAGUAACGACUCGGUUCAGAUAGAAGCAAAUAAGCAAAGUCAACGUUUUUAACUCGUCUCUUUGAAUAGGAAUAACAGUGUGAACACCUUACCUCCUCUGUUUCUAGAACAUCAAUAGCUUCUUCAUGAUCCCACACCCGACUCUGCUUCUCUCUAGCUCUCUCACGAACGAUGACUCGCCCAAGGUCUCUUAACUGAUCAUGCACCCACAGUUGGUUACCUUUUGCGAUCUUUAUUAAUGACCUCUGUUUGAGGACUUCAAGAGAACAUUCAGGGAAAAACUCACAGCUGUCCCACAUGUAAGUCACAAUUCUCACAUUGAACCCAACAAAGAAGCAACAGACAUCAAGAAAUAUUUCCUGCUCUUGAGUUUCUAAUGCCUCGAAACUGAUGUUUAACUUAUUUUUAACCUUUUCAUUGGGAAUGGUCUCCAGCUUCUUUAACACAUUCUUCCAUUUAUUUAUGUCAUUUCUAUGCAAAAGUGAACCUAUAAUUUCAAGAGCCAAAGGAAGAUGACCACAGAUUUCUACUGCUUUUUGCGAGAGGGAGACAUAUUCUGCUGGAGGAGAAUCUCUUCCAAAGGCAUGUCUGCUAAACAGUUGAAGAGAAUGACCAAAAUCCAUUUCAGUAAGUUCAUGUUGAAAAUCAACAACUUUGAGAAGUUCCUUGUCUCUUGUAGUAAUAAUAACCUUACUUCCUCUGCUGAACCAACAUUCACCUGUCCCCACAAGAGCCUCCAGCUGAGUGUUUUGGUCGACAUCAUCAAGUAAAAGUAAAACCUUUUUAGAGGAUAACCUAUUCUUGAUUUCAGUAAUCCCUUCAUUAAUACUCUUGAUGGAUGGGCAUUCCUUUCUUAGGACGUCGGAGAUGAGUUGAUUCUGCAAACUAACAAUCUUUGUUUCUCGAAUGUUAGAUAGGAAGCAACAGUUAUCAAAAUCAGCCAACAGUUUAUUAUAGAGAAUUGUGGCAAGAGUUGUCUUUCCGACACCACCCAUACCAUAGAUACCAACAAUCUUUGUUCCGGUGGUCUGUUCGCCUAUCUUUUCCAUGAUUUGGUCCACUUGAUCAUCCAUUUCAACCAAGCAAUUAGUUACUGCCAGGUAGUUCUUUUUCAACUCGAUCAAAAGCUUCUGAACAAUUUCUUUUGUGAACUCGCCUUUGCCUCUGAUAAUGUGGAAGGCAACAGAACCAAACUGUUAAAUCAAGAUUAAGAGAAUAAUAUCUAAGGUACAAGCAAACCAUGCACAAUAAUAAAUUCAAGUACCUCUCCUUGAGUUCCCAUCCCUUUAAUUUUCCAACCUUGUUGAGAGCGGCCUUCCAGUUCUGAAUAGUCUCAUUAGUGUACAGCUGCUUAUUUACGUGUGACUGAAUGGCCUCGCCAUAAGUUCUAGUCUGCUUACGAACCUCGGAUGGUUCAACGUCAUAGAAAAUUGGCAUGAUCUCUUGUCCCCACUUUUCCUUGCACUCCACCAUCUGGACCAACUCCAUGAGGCACCAUUUACUGGCAGCAUAUUGUUUAGAAAAGAUAGGAAUCGAGAUUUUUGACUGCUUAAUCGCUUGGAGAAGCUCUGGGCCAAUAUCUUUCCCAACGCGAAGCUCUUCAUCAUCUCUGUAUGCUCGUAUUCCGGCAUCAACAAGGCUGUGGUAAAGGUAAUCAGUGAUGUCGCGGUGAGUAUCGGAUCCUCUAAAGCUCAAGAAUACUUCAUGAUAAGGUUCCAUUGGCUUCUCCAUUUCCUGAAUUUUCGAAGGACUUGCAACGACUUGAUAUCCCACCUGAAAAACAUUUACUAUGAAAGUGAGGUGAUGAUUAUCAUGAUUUCUCUCAGAAACUCUUCUCUUUAAAGUCAUUCUAAAAAGCAAUCUCAAUGAAAAAUGUGUGAGCUCCUUCUGGCAUUGCACUAGACACCAAAAUAUGUCCAAUUAUGGUAGAGAAGCUGACCCAGCUAAAUACUAAAGGAAGAAAUCUCCAACUUAUUGCGAAAUUAUGAGUUUUAGUUCGCACUUGAAAUUGAUUGGAAAAAAGGAAAAUUUAGAGAGAUAAAUCACUGUCAACAUAUUUUUGUCUUAAACUUUUUACUUAUGAGAUAAUUUUUUUCUUAAAAGGUAAAGUUGAAUGUCCUUUGCACAUAACCGCCUGCUGUGGCUUGUAGGUUGACUAAUUAUCUUAUUAUCUCAUAAGAAGUUAUGCCGAAACCGUCCUCUUUUAGUUUUACCAAAAUCGAUUUGACAAAAAGAUUCCACAAUAAUCGAUUGGCUGCUCACUUGAACUUAAUGGGCACAGGCAAAGAAUUGCAGUCCCCUAUGACUAAUAGUUAGGCACGAGGCUACUCUUCACAUCUAACAGACAGUAUCAGCAUAUCAGAAAAAGAGGAGCGGAUUACUAAUCACUUGUGAAGUUGAUAAAAAUUCAACAGAAAAAAGAAGCAUGAAUGCUAUAACCAUUUUUCCAGCAAAAUAAGUUUGACCACACAGGAGUGCCAGGAGUGCAGGGAUGACAGCUGCAUUUUAUGGAAGCGGAGACUUCCGGUUCACAACAGAGUGCAACAUUAUAGUGCAUUCAAUCUGUCUCCAGUGUUAAAUACAGAGUUGAUGGUAUCAAUUUUCUGCCUAGGGGUGUUCUUACUGCUAAUCGCUGGAAAUUAUGGUACCGAAAUAUCCUAAAGAUACGAGUAUCUCUGUUCACCAAAAAAAAAAAGAGAUCCCAUCAAACAAAUGAAAUCAACAGAUCCACUCAAACUAACUUAGCUUUUAGCACCAGCAAUCCACGCGAAAACUCAGAGAGAGAGAGAGAGAGAGAGAGAGUACGCGGGUGGCGAGCUCGUAAGACUGAGCGUUGUCGAUGAUGGAACCGGACUUGCCUCCGCCUUCGCUGCCGUCGCCACCGCCCUUCCUCCUCUUCUUUGGCUCGUCGUCGCGAGGGCCGCCACCGCUGCCGCCGCCAUUGAGGAGCUCAGUCCGAGGCUCGACACCGCUCGCCUCCGCUUCAGCUUCGGGCCGUCUCUUCUUCUCCACCAUUCCUGCUCUCCGAUAUCACAAAGUUUCGAUUUUUUGACACGGUACAAGGUCGACUGGUCAAGGGUUUAGGCCUCGAUCUUGGUGGUGGUAUUGUGUUUCAGGAUCUGAGGCCUGACAGUUGCAUAGAUGGAAGUGGAUGAGCAGGGUUUUAGCAUGUGACUCAUGAGUUAGAGGCUAAAGCUAUUAGUGUUAGACGCAACUGGCAGUGAUCAAUCACGGAGUCAACUGAGGGAAGAACUGAUGCUGAUCUGAGAGUCCCCUCUCUUGUUUCCAUCAAAUUUUGCAUCUAGUUGCAUUACGGAACAGACCCAAUUCGUUAAAAAAGAAGGCAAUCAACGAGAGGAAGUUACCGGAGAUGGAGGGGCUGAAGAUGAACAGUCCGGAUCAAAUGCUGAGAAUCAGAUAAAAGAUCCCAAGAAUAAGCGCUCUGGCUUUUGAGGUCAGCUGAAGAAAGACAAAGACUUCUAUUAGACGGCGAGUUCACCCUCCUUCGCCGUGUCCUUCCACGAAAGCGAGGGCUUGCUAGUUGCCAGGAAACUUCAAGCCGACCGUGUGAAGAGAAAAUAUUCAGUGGUUCGUGCGCGCCACGUCAGCUGAUGACGUGGCGCGCACGAACCAUUCAGAUACCGACACCUGUUAUGUGGGACCCGCUAAAAAAUGAAAGGAUUCGGUCGGCUCGGCUCGGCUCGCUGGCAGAAGAAAAGACAAGUCACGCAAAGCUCCCGCCCAAAAGACCAUCAUCUCUCCUCUUCAAUUGAAUCUUCUGCAAUUUUUUCUCUCUCUCUCUCACUUUCUCUCUCCUCGCGGGAAAACAAACACAGAACGAUCGAGACCUCUUCCGCUUCCGCCUUCGUCUCCGGCUCUGCCUCCUCAAAAGCCUCGCCGAUCAUCUGCUUCUGGCACGUCGAAGCCUCACCAAUCGCAGUUGGGUCCCGACCCCCUCCACCUCCGAUUGUUCCCACAGAGAUUGGGUACGAGGUUUGUGUCCGCCUUCGGCGCUGGCUCCGCCUUCCUCCCCAAAAUCUGCUUCUGGCACGUCGGAGCCUCACCAGUCGCAGUUGGGUCCUGACCCCCUCCACCUCUGACUGUUCCCUCAGAGAUCGAGCAGAAGGUUUGUGUCUGCCUCCGGCUCCGGCUCCGGCUUCGGCUCCCUCCCCCAAAAGCCUCAUCUGCCUCUGGCAUCCUCCGUCUCCGGCAUUUGCUCGUCCUCCCUGUCCCGCCGGGUUCCGCCGCGAAUCCAUCGGCCUUCGGCAGGAGGGAGGCAGCCUCGGUCUCGUUCCCGAGCGGCACUAGGCUCCCCGCCGCUGAUCGGGCGCUGUCCGUAACGCUGGCCCGCUCGGUCGCGAGGGAGAUCUCGGACGGCGCGGGCUGGAGAAGGAUUCCCGCCGGCCUCCGCCGCGAAGCCAUCGGCCUCCGGCAGGAGGGAGGCGGCCUCGGUCUCAUUCCCGAGCGGCACCAGGCUCCCCACCGCUGACCGGGCGUUGUCCCUGACGCUGGGCUGAUCAGUCGCGAGGGAGAUCUCGGCAGACCUGGGCGGGGUCAACGGCGCGGAGAAGAAGGAGAGGCACGAGCUGGAGAAGGUUUUUUAUUUUGACUUUUUUCUGGGAAAUUUCUCAAAGUCCAAAGAUUCUUUGGCACGAAAGGCGGGAGUACAAGAGAUGUUCAUGCGUGUUAUUAGAUUAGAAAUCAUUCAGUUUAUGCUAAUUGAUAUUCUUUUAAUAACGAUAAAACCCUUCUUUUGUAGGUGAAACCUAGGCCCACUCAAACUUUAAAUUUACUAAACCCAAAAAUGUAGAAUUCAUAUAUUUUUAUUAAUUGAGAUGAAUUAUGUUAGAGUUAUACCUAUUGAGUUUGUAAGACACAAAAAGUUAGGAAAAAUAACACCACAAAUGAUAUAACUUUCGUACAACACUCACUUGAGUUUUAUAACUUUUUUAGGAUUACUCAAGUGAUAAAACUUUCGUUUCGCACUCAGUUAAAUGUCAUAAUCUUCUUCUUCUUUUUUGUGCCGUAACUUUUUAAAAUCAUUCACCCAAGUGUCAAAAAUUCGACAUGGUAUAAUAUCUGUGAUGAACGUUUUUAAAAGUAUGGUAGUUACGUAAGUUAUGACAUUCAAGUAAAUAUAUAUAUUUUUUAAAUUAUGACACUUCAAUAAUGGAAAAGAAAAGUAAUUAUGGCAGUCAAGUAAAUAUCGUACGAAAGUUAUGAUAUAUAUAGUAUUUUAUUUGUCAAAAGUUGCAUUCAGCCGAAAAGGAGUAAGGCUCCAAAAAAAUUUGCAAUGGCAGUGAAAGCUUACCAAUUAUAGGUGGUUUGAAUAGAACUUCCAAAACCGAAGAUACCAAUAUGUGCAACCAUAGUAAUGUGUCUGGUCAGCAUUUAGCAAGUUGGUAGCCAUCCGACCUUAUUUACUUAUAAUAUAUGGGGUGAAAUGGCAAUGUUCAUAUCAUCGCCAGAAGGCACGGCAUCCUUUAACCAAGGAAAAUUUUAAGAGAAACUCAACUAUCCUAUAGUCCAAAAAUUGGAAAUUACAAAAUUAUAAGUAAAUCAUUAACUAAAAAAUAUAAGUCAACUUAACUUAUUAUUAUAAAUUAUUUGUGAUUAAACAUAAAAAUAAUAAUAUGUUGAUAUGCAUCGAUGAUGAUUAAUCAACCAACGAAGUAUUCCAUUGUUUUUAAAAAAUGAUUGGUAAAUUAAUUUGAAUUACUAUCAUGAUAUUAUAUUGUAGAUAUCUAAAUCUAAAGUAAAUGCAAUCAUAGUGUAAAAUCUACGUUAAAUAUUGGUAUUUUUAUUGCAUUUUAUUCUCAAUUUGGUUUUCCUAAAAGUGGACGUGUUGUGUUCAUUUUAAGAGAGGCGUUGAUAUGGUUGCUAAUGCCAAAUGUUUAUUUUGUAUGAUGAUAUGAAUUUGUUUUGAAAAUUUUGGAGAAAUAAAGAUCUAAAAAAAGGAUAGAAAAAUCAGACAAGAAAUCGUUCUGGAGAGGUCAAUUCCUCUCCAUCAAGUAGUUUUGAACAUCAUUCAUUUAGAAAGAAAAAAAAAAAAGAUGCUCCGAACAGUGGAGAUUGCAUUCAUUGUUGCACGAAUUCAUCCUCCCAUAAUCAAAUUUAAUUCAUGAAAUUUAUUCUACUUUUAGUUUUGUGUGAAAUUUCUUUGCCUACCUCGUUCAGGGAGCUCCUGGAGAUGCCAAAGAUUAUAUUCUUUAAUCUUCUUCAACAUGUUACCGCGAACAUGCGCCUCUCCAAGUCCCCGAGCUUCCUGGCGUCCACCACCUCGCGGUCGAGCACCGUCACCCUUUUGAUAAUCUUUGCAAAUCUGAGCAAGGGUCACGGCCAUCAUUGCCGAAUGGACAAGGGCAGCUAGCGGCAAGGUCGCAGCCGGCCUCACCGGCAAGUGGCCAGGGGCUGCCACCCUGCUUGGUUCGCUCAUUGCAUACGGGCAUGCACACUCACUUACCUCGUUCCUUUCUCAACAUGGGAAGGUGGUAGUGAGGGCCGAGCUGGCUUCUUCUAAGUCCGGCGAGGAACACCGGCCAAGCACUGUCCUUCUUGGUUCUCCACCAUUUGACCUUUCUUCUUUUUUCCAAAUUUUUACUUUUUUUGGGUUUUUAAUUUUAGAAAUCUUGGAAUCAGUUUUUUCCUCUCUCUCUCUCUCUCUCUCUCUCUCUCUCUCUCUCUCUUUUUUACAUUUUUCUUAAAUUUUGCUAAUACGACAGUCAUUUCAAUGCCUCUAUCUUCAGGAAAAAAAAGUCAGGUUAUUUUUUUCCCAUUAACUGAAUUGGAAGGACUUAAUAGUGGGAUUAGGGUGCCCUAGUUUAAUAAAUUUUAAGAUUUAAUUGUUCUUUUUGAAAAUUAUUAAAUGUGAUUGCACUUUUUACUAAAUUAUUUAUAGAUGUUCAAUUUAGCGUUUAGACUAAACUUGCCAUUUUCUUAUAGUUUAAGUACCACAUUAAACAUUUAUUAAUAUUUUAUGAUUGCAUUAUAUAAAUUAAAGUUUAAAAAUGAUAUAACACAUUUGGACAAAGUUCAAAUAUCACAUUAAACAAAUUAAAAAUUUAGGGACUAUAUAUGUUAUUUUUUCCCAUUUUUUAAAUCUAAAACUCUAGAAACUUAAGCAUAGACACGUAGAUUCACAUAUAACUUUUUUUUUGAUAAUUUUCUGAAAUUUGAAAAUAAUAUCAAUUUUAACAAAAAAAAACUACUGUCGACUUUUUUAACUCCAAACAAGCAUUAAAUCAAUAAAUUUUCGCCAUUUCUUUACAAUUUCAAUUCGCGUGCCGGAUGUUAAGAGUAAUAAGAUGCAGAGGACACCACUUUCAUGGGAGAGACGACUGAUGCAUUGCCAUGUUCUUCAGCGAUAUCGUCCCAACCAUCCAUCACUAUGUCUCUCUCCUCGCAAGAUGCGUCGCCAAGAAACACCUGAAGCUCGGCAUGACCGUCCACUCUCACCUCAUCAAGACCGCACUCGCCAGCGACUCUUUCCUCGUCAACCAUCUCAUUGGCAUGUACUCCAGAUGCUCUUCCAUCCGAAGCGCCCACAAGGCUUUUGAUGAUCUUGAUACAAAGAACAGUUACUCUUGGAACACCAUCAUAUCUGCAUAUGCCCGGAUAGGCGAUUUCAAGAAAGCGCUCGUCUUGUUCGAUGAAAUGCCGCAGAGGGCUCUUGUCUCUUAUAAUUCCUUGAUUUCUGGGUUGUCCCGUCAUGGGUUUUAUGUGGAGUCUCUGAGCGUCUUCAUGCAUAUGCAAAAAGAAUAUGAUUGUCUAUCCAUGGAUGAGUUUACUUUUGUGGGACAUGGACAUGACCCAAGAGAAAAAUUUGAUCUGGUCAGGCAGCAUCCAAACGAACCAAUAAUGGCAAGGUAGAUGCUUUCCAUUGUUCCAGCAACAAUGAGAUCAGAAUCUGAAAAUAUGUACACAGAAUGCCAUUACCAGAUAGCAUCUGAGCAAUCUCCACCUACCUCACACAAAACCUCCAGGUACAACGAGAGGCUUUCGUGAUGCCCAAUUUUCUGUGGACCAUGAGUCCUUCCUGAAACUUUAUGGUAUCUUUGACUUGAGGUUCUCUAGGAAGGUAUGAAUUGUUCAUUAAUACAAGAACUAUCACCUUGCAGCUGUAGCCUUCUUUUUUUUCUCCAGCAUCUUCCGUCCAAACACUUUUUAUUCACUACCCACCACCAUCAUCAUCAUAAUCAUCAUCAUCAUCAUCCAAGAUGAGUCUUAAGUUGGGCUCAGGAACAUAUCCAGCUUCCUUCAUAUGAUACGCUAGUUUCUUGAGCACUUCAUAUAAGUCUCCUAUCCGACAGUGGAAUUGGUCCUUUGCUGGAAAUUUGUGCAUUUCAUUCUUUACCUCAAUCCAACUGCUUGCCACAUCUUUUGUCAAAUCUCUCUCCUCCAUUUGCUUCCUUACUCUGCAGGAAUCAUCCCAUCCAUUAGUUGUGGCAUAUAUGCUUGAUAACAUGACAUACCUCGCAGCAUUUCGGGGUUCCAAAUUCAAUAGAGCAUCCACAGCUUUUCGGGCAAUAACUAGAUUGCCACGGACCUUGCAUGCACCCAAAAUUGCACCCCACAUUCCAACAUGGUUUGAUUUGUUUGGGACACUCUCUAUUGACUCAAUGGCUUCCUCAAGGCUGGCAGGAAGACGCGGUCGCUUUCCCGGAGGGAAAUCUCCGCCAGGUCGAGUCAUGUCUCGUGCUUCCGCUCAGUGUCGCCGUUGAGGGCCUUGAUGGUUGGGGUCCGUUGCUGCUGCUUCUGGAAGAGAAGGAAGAAGAAGGAAAGAAUGUGAGGAGAGACAGAGAGAGAGAGCAACGGGAGAAAAAACGAAACAAAAAAAUUAAAAAAGGAGAAAGAAGUCGAAAUUUCUUAAGAGUGGGUCCCACCUAUACACACGUCAUUUGAGAAAAUAUUCCUCACCACCACUCUAGUAUGGAACAUUUUAUCCGUGACUUCCUGCCCACCACCCUCGGCUUAUCCGGCUUUCCGUCAGGAUCCUCGCUUUUUUCAAAUCCCUGUACUCAUCCGAUUCCAGAAUCUCCUCCAAUCUCUCACAUCCUCUUAUUAUUAAAUCCUCUAGCUCCUUGAAGCUUGAAGGAUCAGAAAAUUGUCGCAGAGACCCGCAGCCCCAUAUUUCAAGUUUUUUCAAUGAUUCUAGCCUACUUUGAAUCUCAACCAGACGAGGACAAUGCCUUAUCUCGAGACCCUUGAGCUCCUUGGCGUUGGUCAAGUCAGGCAACUUCUCUAGCAACGGAAAAUACUUCACCCAUAAGAAACGCAAAUUCUCCGCAACUUCCAGGCCCUAAAUCUCUUCUAGCUUAUGACAUUUUUCUAUAGAUAAUGAUUUUAUAUGCUUGAAGCUUAAUGGAUCAGGCAGCUUUUCAAGUGAUUCACAGUUAAAUAAAUAGAGACCCUCCAACGAUUCUAGCUGACCUCUAACCUCAACCAGUUUAGGACAACUUUCUAUAUGAACACUUCGGAGCUUCUUCAAGUUGGUCAGGUCAAGCAACUUUGCUUGUGACACAAGACCACUAAGACGAAGCUCUUUCAGGUUAUUCAAAUGUUCGAGGCCUUGAACCUGCACACAACAAUAGACUUGCAAUAAUGAUAACUUCUCCAAAUAUGAAACAUUUAUCACUGCAUUGUCCAUUAACCUGCCCCCAUAUAUCUUAAAGUAUGACAAAUUCUGGGGAAGCCUAGGUGGGCAUUCUAGAUUAUGUACGCAGAGUUCAAGCUUCCUGAGCUUCAAAAGGAGAUUAAAAUCUGAAGGUAGGGUGACCGGAUUAUCGUAACGCAAAUACAAGGUUUCUAGCUUUGUUAGCCUUCCGAUCCAAUUGAGGCUUGGAGCUAGAUGGGAAGGGGUUUGAUACCUUGAUUCCAAUGUCAAAACUCUCAAAUUUAAUAGAUUCGAGAGAUCUGGGCAUCUCAUCUGUAGAUUAUAUUCCAGGUAUAGAUCGAUCAUACUUUCAGGAAGCUUAGGUAUAUUAGAAACUCUCGAGCUCGAUAACCUCAAGAUUCUUAGAAAUGAUAGUCUUUCAAUCUCAUUUGGAAUUUCCCCACACAAAAUUAUACAACCAUCAACAUGGAUCGCUUCAAGCUUCUCCAACAACCCAAGGGCACCGGGUAGCUUUUCUAAGGGGGUGUGAGACAUCCUUAGUACUCUCAAAUUCUUCAUCGUCUUUAUUGAAUCAGGUAACUCUCGUAAGCUUGACCGAGAAAGAUUCAACUCAAUGAGAGACCCAAAAUUUCCAAAUGGAAGUUCACUAAUACUUGUUUCUGACAAGUCAAGAUACAAUAGUGAUGUUGAGCAACUAGCUAAAUUGCAUUCACUCAGUAAUUUACAGUAAGUUGCACCGAGGGUUUCCAAUUUCUCAAUUCCUUUCCAUUCAGGAAUAUUUGUAAUAGAUGUCCAACCAACACGAAGUUCUGUCAAGGCUUUAAGUUCCUCCAUCUCGUCUGGCAAUGUCUGAAGUUUCCCACAACCUUCCAAGUUUAAUAACACUAAAUGCUUUAACUUACCAAUAGAUUUAUCAACUUGAACUAGUUUGUAGCACUCUUGAAGAAUCAAUUGCUCUAAAUUUUCAUGAGCAGAAAAGUCAGGAGUUCUACGCAAGUUACAUUUAGUCAAAUUUAGAACCUUCAACUUCUUUGCCAUCUGUAAUGAAGAGAAGAGGUUAAUUUGGAUCAUUUUGAGAUACAAGACAACAAAGUCAAUAUAGCAAAUUCAUAUUGAAAUAAUACCGUACCUUGAGGUGGUUCCAUCCCUCCCACUCAUCUGUAAUUUUACUCCUUGAUAGAUCAAGAAUCACUAGCUUCACGAGGGAAAAUGCGGUGAAUUGGAAAAAGAUGGGAAACUCAUGCCAUGAGAUAUAUUUCAAAUUUUGAAGGAUGGGUAGAUUCCUCUGGAACCAGUUGGUUGAAGGAAAAUACUGAAUGAAUUUAGACCAUGAGAGCCAUCUCAAAUUCGGAAGGGUGGGUAGAUUCCUUCCAAACCAGUUGGUAAAAGAAAAAUGUUGAACGUUGUUCAUAUCCAAGUCCCCACACUCCACUUGAAGAAACCUUAAAUUUGGUAGACUUGCAAAUUCAUUCUUUAAAAAGCAUUGAGAUUGAUGAUCAAAUGUGAGACAUAUUGCUUCAACAUUUUUUGUUCUCUGCCAAAGCAAAAAAGGGAAACAUAAGCUGGUUAUCAUAUAAUCACUAGUUGAAGGCAUUCAAGUUGAACGCGCUCAAGGACUUAAGGAAUGUACAUCUUAUUCAUAAUUGAAAUUAAUUGAUAAUAUAAUUUAUAGAUGAGCAUGUGAUCAUAGUAACCACACAAGUAACGACUUGGUUUAGAUAGAAGCAAAUAAGCCAAAUCAACGUGUAUAACUUGUCUCUUUGGAUAGGAAUAACAUUGCAAACACUUUACCUCCUUUAUUUGAAGAACAACAAUUGCUUCCUCAUGAUUCCACACCCGACUCUGCUUCUCUGGUUUUAAAUUAGCUCUUUCACGAACGAUGUCUCGUCCAAGGUCUCUUAGUUGAUCAUGCACCCACAGUCGGUUACCUUCUGCAAUCUUUAUUAAGGACCUCUGUUCAAGGACUUCAAGAGAAUAUUCAGGGGAAAACUUACAGCUGUCCCACAUGUGAAUCACAAUUCUCACAUCAUACCCAACAAAGAAGCAACAAAUAUCGAGAAAUAUUUCCUUCUCUUAAGAUUCUAAUGCCUCGAAACUGAUGUUUAACUUACUUUUAACAUUUCCAUCUGGAAUAGUUUCUAGCUUCUUCAACGUGAUCUCCCAAAUUCUCCUCUCUUUUCCAUUUAAAAGUGAACCUAUAGUUUUAAGAGCCAAAGGAAGACCAUCGCAGAUUUUUAGUGCUUUUUUGGAGAGGGGAACGUAUUCUACUGGAGGAUUGUCUCUUCUAAAGGCAUGUCUGCUAAAUAGUUUAAGAGAAUGUUUAAAAUCCAUUUUGAUAAGUUCAUGCUGAAAAUCAACACCUUUGAGAAGUUCCUUGUCUCUUGUGGUAAUAAUAACCUUACUUCCUCUGCCGAACCGGCAUUCAUCCACCCCCACAAGAGCAUCCAGCUGAGUCUUUUGGUCGACAUCAUCAAGUACAAGUAAGACCGUUUUAGAGAACAACCUCUCCUUGAUCUCAGUAAUUCCUUCAUUACUAUUAGUGAUGGACAGGCAACUUGUUCGUAGGACUUUAGAGAUGAGCUGAUCUUGCAAAGUCUCAAUUUUUGUAUCUCGAACAUUUGACAGGAAGCAACAGUUAUAAAAAUCACCCGAUAGUUUAUUAUAGAUGAUUGUGGCAAUAGUCGUCUUUCCGACACCACCCAUACCAUGUAUACCAAUAAUCUGUGUUUUAGUGGUCUGUUCACCUAUCACUUCCAUGAACUUGUCCACUUGAUCGUCCAAUUCAACCAAGCAAUUAGACAUUGCCAAGGAGUUCUUUUUCAACUUGAUCAAAAGCAUCUAAACAACUUCUUUUGUGAACUCGCCUUUGCCUUUGGCAGUAUUGAAGGCAAUAGAACCAAACUAUUAAAUCAAGAUGGAUAGAAUAAUAUCUAAGAUACAAACAAACCAUGCACAAUAAUAAAUUCAAGUACCUUUGCUUGAGUUUCCAUCCCUUUAAUGAUCCAACCUUGUUGAGAGCUGCCUUCCAGUUUUGAAUAGUCUCAUCAGUAUACAACUUCUUAGUUAUGUGUGACCGAAUGGCCUUGCCGUAACUUGCAAUUUGGUCACGAACCUCAGAUGGUUUAACGUCAUAGAAAAUCGGCAUGAUCUCUUGUCCCUACUUUUCCUUGCACUCCACCAUUUGGACCAACUCCAUCAGGCACCUUUCACUCUCAGCAUAUCUUUCAGAAAAGAUAGGAAUUGAGAUUUUUGACUGCUUAAUCGCUUGGAGAAGCUCCGGGCCAAUCUCUUUCCCAACAUGAAGCUGUUCAUCAUCUCUAAAUGCUCGUAUUCCAACAUCCAUGAGGCUGUGGUAAAGGUAAUCAGCGAUGUCGUUGCGAGUAUUAGAUCCUCUAAAACUCAAGAAUACUUCAUAAUAAGGUUCCACUGGCUUCUCCAUUUCUGGAAUUUUCAGAGGACUUGCAACGUCUUGAUAUCCCACCUGAAAUAUAUUUACUAUGAAAGUGGAGUGAUGAUUAUCAUGAUUUCUCUCAGCCACUAUUCUGUUUUAAGUCAUUCUAGAAAAGGACCUCGAUGACAAAUGCAUGAGCUCCUUCUAGGGCCUUGCACUAGACACCAAAAUAUGUCCAAAUAUUUUAUUAACAAUACGGUAGAGCAGUGGACCCAUCUCGAUUCUAAAGGAAGAACUUUCCAAAGUAUCGCGGAAAUUAUGAAUUUUAGUUCACACUCGAAAUUGAUUUGAAAAAAAAAAAAGAAUAUUUCGCGCAAAGAUAAAUCACUGUCAACCUAUUUUUGUCUUGAACUCUUUCUUUAGGUGAUAAAAUUUCUCUUGAAAGAUGACGUUGAAUGUCCUUUGCACAUAAGCACCUAAAGUUGCUUGUAGCUUGAAUAAAUUUGUCAUUAUCUAAUAAGAAAUUAUAAUAAAACCUUCCUCUAUUAGUUUAACCAAAUUAGAUUGGACAAAGACAUUCCACAACACUAAAUUACUAGCUCCCUCGACCUUUACAGAUGCGGGCAAAGAGUUCAUUCCCCUACGACAAUCUCAUUAGAAAAAUGAAAUCAAGAAAUUACACUAAAGCAAAUGCAACUCUCACCAUCGGACUAGUUUGUAAAGAGCAUAAACCGAUCCCUAAUUACAGCCAUCUCAUAGGUUAUAAAAAAAAAAAAAAAACAGAUACACGAUCAUGGGCGAGCAUCAGUUAAGCUUGAAGCUAUUAUCCACAUUUGCCAGAAAGUACCAGCAUAUCAGAAAAAAUGAUUUAAUUACUAAUAAAUUAUGGAGCUAAUAAGAUUUCAACAGAAAAUAGAAGCAUGAAUGGUAUAUAACCGUUUUUCCAGAAAAUAAGUUGGAACACACAUGAGUGUAGGGAUGAGAGCUGCAUUUUACGGAAGCAGAGAGUACCGGUUCACCACAAAGUGCAACAUUGUAGUGUAUUCAAUUGUCUUUACUGUUAAAUACAGAGUUGAGGGUACCAAUUUUCUGCCUAGGAGCAUUCUUACUGCUAAUCACAUGACAAUAAUGUACGAAUUUGUCAUAUCAAAGUCUCUUAAAGAUACCACUAUCUCUGUUUGAGCAAAAAAAGAAUAAAGUCCAACUCGUAAUUACCAUAAUUAGUCGUAUCGACAAACCCAGUCAAAUUAAUUUAGCUUUUAGCCCUGGCCCAGUUCCUAAAGAGGUAAAUCCGAUUCCUAAUUGCAGAUGAUGGAUUUAUGAGAUGGGCUUAAGGCCCAUCCGCUCAAGUUGGGCCAAAAAAGGCCCGGCCCACGGGAAUAGGGCCCGUGGAUGGGGAAAGGUAUAAAAGGGAGGAGAGAGAGAGAGAAGACACCCUUUUGGCACAAUUCCAACGUACAUUCUCUCCCACUCUCCCUCCAAAAAGAAGAAAAAUGCUUACGGCGAUACCGUCUUCCUUUCAAAGCGAAUUGACAUCAUCGGAUCAGAAUUUCUUCCUCGAUCUUCAGCAUUGGUGUUUAAUCUGUGGCUAACAAGGUACACUCGAAUCCGUGGUGUGCUUUACGAUCGGUGAUACGUGUUAUUCCCGGGCUUCGUCUUCCGCAUUAAUUUAGGGGUUCGAUUUAGUGUCGAAUCCGGUUUUCGGGGAUCCGUUAUUCCCAACAUUGGUAUCAGAGCCCUAGUUCGCAUUUUCCCGAUCAAUUUGAUGUUUUUUGAUUGAUUUUUCGCGAAAAAUUUUUGGCCGUACGGAUUGGGGCGAGAAAUCCCGACACCCGAGAGCUUUUUGGCCAUUUUUCCGAGUUUUCGUAAGUCGAAAUCGUUUUCUGAAUACAUGGGGAGAAAGGCGACGUCGAGACGAGUCCGGCGACAUGUCGCACGCCGCCGUACGACACCGCACGCGCCCACACGCGCGGCCAGAAGCCUCUGCGCGUGGGCGCGAUGCGCCACACGCGCCGGUGACGAACCGGUACAUGCGCGCCGGCGACCGGGCGAACCGGCAUGCGCCAGUCCGCGAACCGACGUGUGCUGACGUCACGCGAUGACGUCAUCAUGACGUCAUCCAACGGUCGGUAAUCGCUCGGAUGACGUCACUGAUGACGUCAUCGCCGACGACGUUUCGCCGGGUGGUCACCGGCCGGCGACCCGACUCGACGGCGACCCAACCCGACCCGAUCAGCCUGGCGCAUGCUGCGCAUGUGUGGCUGACGUCAGCACGUUCACGCGCGAGCGCACGCGCGCGGCACAUGCGGUCGGUUCGUCCGACCGACCCGACCGGUCCGUCCGGUCCGACCGGGCUUCCGACCCGCGCGCCCGUUGACCCGACCCGUUGACCAUUGACCGACCGUUGACCCGUUGACUGAUGACCGUUGACCGACCGUUGACCAUUGACUUUGACCAUUGACCGUUAACCAAAAAAAAAGAAAAAAAAAAGAGGAAGUUGUUUCUUUUUCAGUCAUGCCUAUGUGGGUUAUAAGUAAUCCAUUUUUAAUUCUGCAUUUGUUGCAUGAAUUUUGGAAAAUUAUGUAUUUUCCCUUUUAUUUAUUAUGGAUUAUAAGUGAUCCAUUUUUAGUUAUGCAUUUGUUGCAGGAACUAUGAUGCGUUAUGCACGGAUACCUGCAAUCCCGAGAAUGGACGAGGGACAUGCAAGACUGAAAAGGCUGAUGUUAGAUUUAGCUAAAUAUCGGUGGCAUAACGGUGAUUUAGUAUCACAUGUGGUCAAGGUCAAUCAGAUGAUACAAGAAAUCAUCAGUAAUGAUUAUCUUAUGCCGGAUUUUGAGAUGGUGCCGGCUUUGAUUAACACUUUUCCACCUGAAUGGCAAGCAGUGUUGGAUCGGCUAUGAGAGGUCAACGUGGUCCCGGGUUAUAGAAGGCUAGUAGAAGCUUUUGUAAGAGAGUACUAUAGGAUUGAGUUGGCCAAAACUUCAACCCUUAGAUUGAGCGCCACAUGGCGUAGAGUAAAUGCGCCUUGGUGGUGACAUGAAUGCUCUCCAAAAGUUUUUCCAUGGUUGGCAAAUGUGCCUUCAGUUUUCUCAGAUGUUUUGACUGAUAGAUUAGAAGGGACAUUCCCUAUUUAUUUCUUUGAUUAAUUAUGUAAUGUUUACUAUCUGAUUGUUGUUGAUGUAGCAACCGAUAUGUUAGUUGUAUCAUGUGAAAGCAUUGUUAUUUUAUUGGAUGUUAAGAUUUUAUUUGCUUUCUGCUAUUGCUGGUUGCUGUGGGUAGUAAUAGAAGUUUUUGUAACUUCAUAGAAUUUAUUUGCAUAAGACAAUUAUAUUAAUAAUAAUUUUGAGUUAGGAUUUUUGGAGGAUGAUUGGAAACAUAGUGACCUUUUGAUUCUGAAGCCUUACUUGAAAUUAUUCAUUAAUAUGAUGGGUCUAUGCAAAUAGGGAUGUAUAAAUGAUAGGCAUUAAUUAUUCGUGCAUAUAUGUCUGAUGUGUUUAGAUCGAUGGUUUCAGCAACUAAGAAUGUAAUUGCUGAUAUGAACGGUAACAAUUGUGAAAUAUUGAAUAAGAAGAUUCAAUAUAUGCUGGAAAAGCAAGAAGCACUAGAAGCUCUUGACCAUGUUAUGGAAGACCUUAAGGAUGCCAUGCGCCACCUUGAGCUAGUAGAGGACCGCCUAACGGUAUUUGAGCCGAAAAUAGACAUUUGCUAUGCUGGUUCUAGCUCAGAAAGGGCUUUGUGCUCUAAGCGCAAGCGUAUUGAUUCGUUCAAUAUGUGGGAAUGCAAAGGAUCAAGUCCUUAUUGCAAGAAAUCAAGAGUUAACCAACACAAGAGAGGAAAACUUUCAAGGGUGAGAUGUUACAAUUGUGACAAGAGAGGUCACUAUGCUCGCGACUGUCGUGAGCUAAAGAAAGUCAACACCUCUUGUACAUUUGAGAACUUUGCUUAUGUAUCAAGUUCAAUAUUAUUGGCUGAAUCCAAUCCUUUGUGGACUGAAGAUUUAGAAGCGACAGACCAUAGAGGGAAGGAUAGAGAAUCCUUCGUGGAAUUCCGACGAGUAUCAACUGGAACUGAGUGGAUUCAUAUGGGAAACAACUCUAGAGCUGAUGUAAAGGAAUUGGCACUGACUGAUUAAACAUGAGUGGUGGACGCACCUUGAUGUUCUAUAUGCUUUAGAGAUUCGUCGAAAUUUUGUGUCUGUUUUUGAUAUUGGUUAAGCUUGGUUUUAGUAUGAACUUCCAUAAUAAAGGUGUAGAUUUGUAUUUGGAUACAAACUACUAUGAUUGUGGUCACUUACGGAAUGGUUUUAUUGUACUAAAUGUUAAUUGUGAUGAUGUCAAUAUGUUAUUCCAUUGUUUCACGUCUUCUACCUUAUAUGAUAAUGAUGUGAAUAUGGUGGCAUGCUAGACUUGGUCAUAUGGGCCACAACAACAUAUGAAUAGACUAGCCAAAGAGGGCUUGUUGGGCAAUAUUGAAAAAGUCGAUUUGUCCAUGAGUGAGCAUUGCCUAGUAGGGAAAAUAACAAGGAAACCAUUUGGAAAAGGUAAAAGAGCUGAAUUUCCUCUGCAUUUAAUCUAUUUGGGCGUCUGUGGUUCAAUGAAUGUGAAAGGAAGGCAAUGGUUUGUUUAUUUCAUCACUUUUUUUAUAGAUGAUUAUACACGAGUCGGAUAUGUCUAUUUGAUUUCUCAUAAAUCUGAAGCAUAAGUUGUUUCAAAAGGUUUAUGAACCUGGCAGAAAAUCAAUUAGACAAGAAAAUAAAAGGUAUUUAGAUCCGAUCGAGGUUGAGAAUAUUUAUCUGAUAAGUUCAGAAAAUUAUGUGAUGAAAAAGGAAUAGAAAGAUAGUUGUCUAUUCCAUAUACUCCUCAACAAAAUGGUGUUGCAGAGAGAAUAAAUAGAACCUUACUGGAAUGGUUAGGUCCAAGAUGGCGCAUGCUAACUUACUUAUCACCUUUUGGAGUGAUGUGUUGUUAACUGCUACUUAUAUACUUAACCGGGUGCCUUCCAAAUCAGUUAUUUCCACUUCAUAUGAGUUAUGGACAGUUAGAAAACCGGACUUAAGUUUUCUUAAGCCAUGGGGUUGUGCUGCCUAUAUUCAUGAGUCCUCUCACAAGUUUGAGAAAUUGGGUCCCAAAGAAAAUAAGAAUAUUUUCAUGAGAUACAGCGAACACUCAAAAUGGUAUGUGCUCAUAGGUGAGCAGGAAAGUGAGAGUAUAACUGAAUUUGAAUCACGGGAUGUCACAUCUUUAGUGGAUGAAUUUCCUAAGAGGGGCGAAAUAAGGGAAAAUAACUCCCUAUUUGAAACCUUGGAUCAAGAUAAUGAUGUCAAUGGAGUUUGUCCAAGUGGGAGUAAUAUGAGAUGUGAUGAAUUGAAUUCAACUCAUUCUCAAUUGCAACCACCUAAUGUGACGACAUCAUCAUUACCUAAUCCAAGUGGGAGCAUGAUGGGGAAUGAUAUGCUAAGUGUACAAUCUCCCAUACGGUGAACAAGUCGCCAAAAUAUUCCCCGUCGAUGUUUUGACAUUGAAAGGGAAAUUUUUAUGGUUGCUCCACAAGAUGAGGAUGAGCCAAGAAAUAUUAAUGAGGCUCUAAAUUGCCCUAAUAAGGAAAAAUGGAUUCAUGCAAUGAAAGAGGAAAUGGAGUCAAUGAAAUCAAACCAAGUCUGGGAACUAGUUGAUUUUCCAAAAGGACACAAAGUUAUUGGGAACAAGUGGGUUCUCAAAAUAAAGCGAAAGGCUGAUAGCUCGAUAGAAAGGCAUAAGGCUCGCCUUGGUAUAAUCAACAGGAAGGAAUUGAUUAUGAAGAUACAUUUUCUCCUGUAGUAAGAUUUACCUCGAUUCGCAUUAUUCUGGCAAUAGUGGCUAAUCUGGAUCUUGAGUUACAUCAAAUGGAUGUAAAGACUACUUUCUUCAAUGGAGAAUUAGAGGAAUGAACAUAUAUAGAACAACCUGCUGGUUUCAUAGUGAAAUGCCAAGAAGAAAAGGUAUGUCGACUUUGGGGGUCGAUAUAUGGCCUUAAGCAGUCGUCAAGACAAUGGUAUAUACGUUUUCAUAAUGCCAUAAUGGCAUAUGACUUUACAAUGAUAUAUGAGGAUCAUUGUGUAUAUAUCAAAAUAUCCAAUGAUCAAUUUGUGAUCAUAUCAUUAUAUGUUGAUGAUAUACUAAUUGCCGGAAGUAAUAUGGAGUUUGUCAAUACUGUCAAAAGUUGGUUGUCUUCCAACUUUGAGAUGAAAGACAUGGGUAAUGUUGCAUACAUUCUUGGAGUUAAGAUUUCAAGAUUAUAAACCCAUAGACAUUCCUAUUGCAAAAGGUGAAUGAUUGAGCCAUAGACUGUGUCAAAGGACUCCACAAGAGAAGGAACAAAUAAAACAUGUUCCUUAUGCUAGUGCUGUUGGAAGCUUGAUGUACAUUAUGAUGUGUACAAGACCUAACAUAUGUUUUGCAGUUUGAAUGGUGAACAGAUACCAAUCCAAUCCAGAUCAAGCACAUUGGAAAGCCGUUAAAAGAAUACUAAGGUAUCUAAAGGGAACUGCUGAUUAUAUGCUGAGUUAUAAAAGAAAGGAUCUGCAACUCAAAGGCUAUUAUGAUGCUGAUUGGGGGAGGAGAUUUAAAUGAAAGAAAAUCUAUCUCUGGGUUUGUUUUCUUAUCGAAUAAUGGCACCAUAUGUUGGAGCAGUAAGAAACAAAAGUGUAUAGCCUUGUCCACGAUAGAAGUUGAGUUCGUGGUAUUAUCAGCAGUAGUAUAAGAAGAUGUUUGGCUUAAGAGAUUUUUGGAUCAUUUAGGUGUUAUUGGAAGUGCUGCAGAUUCAUUGUUGGUUAACUGUGAUAGCCAAGCAGCAAAAGCGUACACUAAAGAUUCAAAAUAUCAUGGCAAGACCGGACACAUAGAUACCAAGUAUAAUUUUGUAAAGGAUAUGGUUGUACGAAAGGAUGUGAACUUAGAGUACAUACUAUGCAUAGAAUGGUAGCAUAUCCUAUGAUAAGGCCAAUACCUAGUGAUGUGUUUUGUGGCCAUAUGAAAUCUCUAGGAUUGCGUAGAGGUUAAUGUACUGAAUAUUGUAAUUUCCUUAAGUGUUCACAAUUUGAUGAAUUUGUGUUUUCAUCAUUAAUGCCUAUGAAUCUUUGUUUGAUCUCUAUGCAUCUUAAUGCUUAGUGUAUUACUUUAAAUUGAGAGGUAUGUCGGACAGAUAUAAGAUUAGCCCACUCACACGGGUAAUCGCCUCUAUUUACUGUGUGAUAAAUAGAGAUGAGACUAUUUUUAAGCUUAUUAUCUAUGUGAUAAUCGAGAGCUCAAGCUUAAAACAUGUAUGUCGCAUUAACUAGGUGUUAAGAUGAGGAUAUAAUACUUACUAUGUCCGAAAGUAAAAUAUGAAUACCCCCAUAUUUUACUUUAUCUGUCUAAGAUGCCAGAUGUGAGUUCUGAUGAAUUUUGUGAAUGAGUAGAUACGUGAACUCAAGUUAGACAUUGGGUAUGUCUGAACUAUCAUAUAUACGGUAUAAAAGGUGUAGACAUACACUCCAUGGGAAAUGAGUUAAUACUGUAAUACGUAUUUCAUACUACGUAUGCAUGAGACGACCAAUAAGAGUGACAAAAGUUUGAUCUCAACUUUUAUGUCGUGUAAGACUCUUGAGGAAGAGAGUUCCUCAAUUUUUUUGUCCCCUCAUGACUCUUACUUAUUCUCGAGAUUUCUAUUUAGUGUUUGGUAUCUUAGGAUGUUGCCAAUGGUCAUGAGUGAUUCGAUCUAAUGGGGCAUUUCUAGAAAAGCAAGCUGAAAUGAAAUUGAGAGUUUGAAGGAAAGAGGAAGAUCAAAUUUGGAGAAUCACAUUGUAGUUUUGUAUUCACCGGUUAACCAAUUAUGACUGUCUUUGUGAUAAUCAUAAUUGUGAAUACAAUAUAUAUAUAUCAUUGUUUAAAAGAGAUCAAGAGAGAUAUAAAUGUGAUCGAUCGAUCUAGGGUACUGCAUAUUAAAUCUACUCAGGAUGUGAUGCCCAUUAUGAGCUGCUAUAUAUUCCUAACAGAUGUAUGGCAACGAGCUCUCAAAGUAUGCUGGUCGCACGGAUUAUUCAUCGGUAUGAAUGUUGAAGAGAAGAAAAGAGGAUUUUGUUCGGCCCACCAUGUUAAGUGAGAGUCUAUGAUGGAUUUUUUUCUGAUGGGGUUGAGUAGGGCCUGUCCGCCCAUGUUGGUUUUGGACCACCACGUGCGAGUGGGAGAUAAUGGAUUUAUGAGAUGGGCUUAAGGCCCAUCCGCUCAAGUUGGGCCCAAAAAGGCCCGGCCCACGGGAAUAGGGCCCGUGGAUGGGGAAAGGUAUAAAAGGGAGGAGAGAGAGAGAGAAGACACCCUUUUGGCACAAUUCCAACGUACGUUCUCUCCCACUCUCCCUCCAAAAAGAAGAAAAACGCUUAUGGCGAUACUGUCUUCCUUUCAAGGCGAAUUGACAUCAUCGGAUCAGAAUUUCUUCCUUGAUCUUCAGCAUUGGUGUUUAAUCUGUGGCUAACAAGGUACGCUUGAAUCCGUGGUGUGCUUUACGAUCGGUGAUAUGUGUUAUUCCCGGGCUUCGUCUUCCGCAUUGAUUUAGGGGUUCGAUUUAGUGUCGAAUCCGGUUUUCGGGGAUCCGUUAUUCCCAACAGUAGAAAUCUGUGAGAUCUAUCGACAAACUAAUGCAUAAAAGUGGCAUUGCGUUUCAGGAUCUGAGGCCUGACAGUUGCAUAGAUGGAAGUGGAUGAGCACUGAGCAGGGUUUUAGCAUGCGACUCAAGUUAGAGGCUAAAGCUAUUAGUGUCAGACGCAACUGGCAGUGAUCAAUCAUGGAGUCAACUGAGGAAAGAACUGAUGCUGAUCCGAGAGUCCCUCUCUUGUUUCCAUCAAAUUCUGCACCUAGUUGCAUUACAGAACAGACCCAAUUCAAUAAAAAGAAGGCAAUAAAUGAGAGGAAAUUGCCGGAGAAGGAGGAGGUGAAGAUGAAGAGUCAGGAUCAAAUGCUGAGAAGCAGCCAAAGAUCCCAAGAAAAAGCAUUCUUUGACAGACCUCAUUCGAUUCAGCUUUCUCAAAGGCCCAAAACACUUACGAAAAUAUUAGGUGUUUGGUAAGUAUUUUUAGAAGUCCCUUAGCUAAACGUCAGCAGCUAUGGGAAUGCUGAAAGCUCAAUACAGGUCGGACCUACUUUUGAGCUUUCAGCAUUUCAGACCUACUUUAUACUAAUCAUCAGCAUCACUGUUCACUCUCUUCCCGUUCAUCUUAAUCUCCACCGAUUUACCACCUAAGAGUUGGGUCUUCUUCGGCGACCACCGCCUAAGGUUGCGCUAUCCGCGACUCAAGCGACGCCGCCUGAGUGUGCGACCUCAGGCCACCAGAUCUGGCAGUCCAGAGGCCAGAUCAAGCCUCCGCGACCUCAGGCCGCCGGAUAUGGCCGUCCGGAGGCCAGAUCUCAUCAUCCGGCGACCAGAUCUGGCGGUUCGGAGGCCAAAUUUGGCCGUCCGGCGGCGAGAUCUGGCCGUCCGGCGGUUAGCUGGCGGCGGCCAACGGCCAACCUACACCAAAUUAAGUUUUUAGAUUAAAAAAUUAAAAAAAAAACCUUUAUAAAUAUGGAUUUUACAAAAUGAUAUUUAUGCUAAAACUAUUUUCUAACGCUAUUUGGCCCGCCGUGCCUCAAAACGGGAGUCGGCUUUACCGUCCCUCUCGCGGUCUCGGAAGGUUGCGGACUGAGUGGUGCCGAGGACAAUCAGGACUUUCUUCUGCUCGCAGAGGCAGGAGGGAGAGUAACAGCAGGCAAAUAAUCGCAUACUCCUAUGACUAUCUCGUUAGAAAAAUGAAAUCAAGAAAUUACUCCACAGCUAAUUCAACUAGGCUAUAAACAAACAGAUACAGGGUAAGGGGGGAGCAUUAGUUAGGCAUGAGGCUAUUAUUCACAUCUCAGACAAUAUCAGCAUAUCAGAAAAAGAGGAGCGGAUUGCCAAUCACUUGUGGAGUUGAUAAAAAUUCAACAGAAAAAAGAAGGGUGAAUGCUAUAACUAUUUUUCCAGCAAAAUAAGUUUGAACACACAGGCGUACAGGAACGAGAGCUGCAUUUUACAGAACCUGAGAGUUCCAGUUCACCACAGAGUGCAACAUUAUAGUCUAUUCAGUCUGCCUCUUCUGUUAUAUACAGAGUUGAAGGUAUCAAUUUUCUGUCUAGGAGUGUUCUUUCUCACUGCUUAUUUACCAGACAAUAAUGUACUAAUUUGUCUACAUUGUUUAACAAAUGAAAUCAACCGAUCCUAAUUCUAACUAAUUCAGCUGAUGCAUAGGAAUGAAAUUGAGUUUCAAGAUCUGAGGCCUGACUGUUGCAUAGAUGGAAGCAGAUGAGCAGGGUUUACACGUGACUGGGGUUAGGCUAAAACUAUUGAUGUUGGAUACAAAUUGCAGUGAUCGAUCAUGGAGUCAACUAUGGAAAGAACUAAUACUGAUACGAGAGUCCCUCUAUUGUUUUUUCAUCAAAUUAAUGAAAAAAGGGCAAUGAAUGAGAGGAGAUUACCAAAGAUGGAGGAGUGAAGAUGAAGAGUCCGGAUCAAACGCUAAGAAGCAGAUAAAGAUCCCCCAGAUCAAUCAUUCUUGGGUUUGAGCUCCGCUGAAGAAAGACUUUUCGCAAGAUGGCUCGCUCGCCCUCUCGUGCAAUGCUCUUCUAGGAAGGUGAGGACUUGCGAGUUGCAGGUAUACUUAAAGCCAGCCGUUGACUUUUGAUGUGAUAGAGAUGAAGGCUGGCCGUUGACUUGCCAAAGAUUCGUUGGCGCAAACCACUAGAGUUCAAAUAGACGAGAUUUUAAUGCAUGUUAUUAGUUUGGAAAUCAUAUAAUUAUAUUGAUUGAUAUUCUUUUAAUGACGAUGAAAUCAUUCUUUAGUUGUAGGUGAAACCCUAGGCCCAUUUAAAUUCAACAUAAAUUGAAUCUACAAUUGUAGAAUCCACACUUGUAAGUCUUUGAGAUAAUUUAUAUUAUUUAUAGUAAACUUAUAAGACUGGAGUUAGGUUUUUAUGCUUCGUUUGUUUCGUGAAAAAAUGAAUAAUUUCAAAAUAAUUUAUUAAAUAUGAUUACUUGUAUCACAUGAAAUAAUUAGCUAAUAAAAAAUAUUUUUAUUGUAGACAGCAAUUUAUGUUUAAAUAAUUUCAUGGAUGAUGAAAAUAACUUUUGCUUAUUCAUUUUUGUAAGCGAUACAAGUAAUCUUUCUAGAAAAAUCCUUUGCAAAUUAUCUACCUUCUGCAAAACAUACAUACCUUUGAACUCUAAAAGCUAUAUCAUCUAGAAAUUUAUAAAGCUCCGAAAAAGUUACAAUAUAAGUGGAAGGUUAUCGAUAAUCAUUUUUUAAUCGGCUAUAGAAUCUCAUUACGUUCAUUAUAAAAUAAAGUACACCCUGGAUCUCCCCUCAAAGCAGAGAAAUACAACGAUCUUCCAAAAGAAGUACUGAAAAUCCUAAUUCUAAUCAAGUCUAAAUUGGAAAAUUACGUGAAAAACAUAAACCUUACUCAAUAACCCUUUGGGAAGAUAUGCAUUGCACAUCAUGCACGGCACACGGUGCACGUAGAGCACAUGUACGGCACAUGUAAGACACAUGAAAAUUUCAACGAUUGCCGAGGAAAAAUGUGUCGAGUUGCAUAGGGUUUAAGGCUCAAAUGGGCUAAAUUUAAGAAUUCAAGGAUUUAAAGAGUUCAAUUCGAAUGAAAUUCAUAAAAUCGCCUCGGUUUAAAAUUAAUACAUUGAAAUUAUUGCAGACCAAAUGCUAGGAAGCGGAUAAAGAUGCCAAAACCGAAGAAAGACUUUUAUUCAAGAGUCUACUCACCCUCACGUGCCAUGCACUUGUAGGAAGGUAAGGACUUGCUACUCAUCCCAGACGCAUUACAAUUUUACAUACAUUGAACCUGAAAACAUAGAAUUCAUACAUAUUAUGCACUUGAGAUGGAUUAUGUUAGACUUAUUCCCAAUAAAUUCAUAGACAAGAAUUAGGUUUUAAUUUCAAAGGCUGCAUUUGGACACGAAGGAAUAAAGCACCAAAAAAUUUACAACGAGUCUUCAAAAAUAGCUACAGUUGAAAUAUUCCAGAUGAUAUAUUUAUGGUUUUGUCCCAAUUUAUUUCUCAUAUGCAGGUAACGGAAACACUUUCAAAAUAGACAUCUCUCCAACCUAUUCAGAAGCCAUUUGAGUUUCUAAUAAAUCAACGUUUCCCUCAGCAUGGAGAGCAGAGAAAGCGUAAGUUCUAGACACAAGGUUUGCGGAACACAUGACCUCUAUGAUCUCUCGCCAAAGCGGCUAUGGAGGCACGAGAGUCUUGCAUCAAUGUUCACUUGAAGUAAGGGGGGAGGAGUCCAUUUUGGAGGGUCGUCGUUCACAACUCGUGACUACGAGCAACGUUCCAUCGCAACUCAUGGUAGAUGUCCUGUAUAUGUCGAAUUACUGAAGGAAGAUCCAUUUGGGAACGAGCUUCCAGAAUUUUGUUUCGACGCUCCGAUAAACCCACUAAACUAUCUCGACCAUAUUGCGAAAAUCUUCGCAAUAAAUGUCAGGUGGAAGGCCGAAAGCGAGGAGGCGCAGAGAUCACAUAGCACACAUGUAAAAAACAGAACCGCAAAAGAAGUUGAUAUGUCCAAGCCCCAGCCACCUCGACUCCAUACAAUUCAGGUCAUCCACUCUUCCCCUUUUGUCGGCAAAUUUGACUGAUCAAUGUUCUUCGAAGUAAAAAAGCAGUUUCGUUCUAACUGGAUCUUAGGGAGAAAUAUGACCUUUACCUAUGUAUGGAAUAAAUACGACAUCUUGGCCAUGGAAUGUUGACAAGACAUCGAAUGCAUUUUGUGCAGAUCUCAACAACCGAGAGCGGAUUCUUAUGAAGACUGUACUUCUGAUUAACUUGGAGGUCAAGGACAACCAUGAGGAGGCAGCAACUGGAGCUCAGCGUGCUUUAGAUCUUUGUCGAGAGGUCUUUCACUGGCUGUGCUUUAUGUAUUAAUGAUAGUAUGCUUGAUUUCUGUAUGCUGAGAAAUUGCUUAUUGUUUCUAAUUUUCAGAGGCAGAACAGGCGGAAAUUUUUAUUCAGCAUUUCCUUCUAUUGAUGACCGUGGUUAGGGCAAGACUAUUGUUCUGAAAGCUUUAUGAUCCAUGUCGUUGUUCUGUUAGUAUUUUGUCUGCAAAUUUAUAUGUCGACGAACUGAACUUUGGGUUUCUGUUUGUCCAUCUACUUGCACAAGUGGUAAUAGACUUAAAUACAUUACCAGAUUUCUUCCAACGCUGUUACUGUUUGCUUUGCACGAAGCCUUCCCUAGAAAUCUUUCCUUUCUAAGCCCAGCGAGCCCUAUUUAAUCCAUUACACAGCUAAUCAUUUCAUCAUACCCUAUCCUGAAUUUGAUCUCUUCUUAUGUCAGGAAGACUGAAUCAGGCUCUCCCAUGUUUUUACGCCUUCGCUUGAUCUUGGUAUUCCAUGCCAAUUGUUGGGUUUGAUGAACACUUUCCUUGACUACUCGUUAGUGGUAGGUCAUUUUGCAACAAUAUCUUUAUCUGCAUAAUGAGAAUUGUCAUUCUCACGCUUUGAAUUGAAUUUGCUACAGAAGCCUAUUCUUUGCUGAGCCUGUCAUACUAAUGCGCUGCAUACAUCCACUUUCAGAUUAACACUGCAUCGAUGUGGAAAAGAAAUUCUGAGUCGAACCCUUAUCCACUCACUUUAUCUCUGGAAUGUCGACGCAUGAUGAUGUAUUAGUAAUUGGAAGCAAGCCAGUCUUGCUUAGGAGUGAAAAUUCUAUUAUUUCUUGUAGUUUCUUCUUUUUUAAGUUUCUUUGUACUGCAGAACUAAUUCUGUGAUGGUACUCAUGUCGAGAGAGCGGAAAGAAAAGGAAUUCCGGCGUAUUGUAUAUAAUUUCUUUGAAUGCGAUGGGUUGAAAACCGCCUCUAUUUUCAUUUUUAUGUAUCGUGCAUAUGAAAAGAAAAACAAGAGAACAGAACCAACCUGACCUGGUCAGUCAUUUGAUGAUUUGGUUCUGUAUUUUUGGCAGGGUUCACAAUUCAAUCGAUCCUAUUUAUUUAAGAUGAGUUGGUUUUUGAAAAGAAAAUUACUAAAAAGCAGGAACUUCUAAUUUGAGUUCAUAUAGAAAUCGUCAGUUUUCUUGCUGGCUUGUUGGUCGUUCCUAGGAUCCUGUCCUUCAACUUGCUUUCCUCACUUCCUGAAUAAAAAUUCCCUUGCGUAUUCAUUUAAAAUAAUAGGCUCUGAUAAUUCGUCGAGAUUACCUAGUACUGACACACAAAAGUCAUCUCCAUGUAUGGCUUGCACCAAGGUUUGCAGUUUCACAUCUCAAAGUGGGGGAUGCUUUUUUGACCUUGGCGCAAGUGUCUUUUUUGGAAUGUCUCAAAUGCCAGUCUCUUGAGCCAGUGAAUUCUUCUAUUCUGCUGUUCCUUCGAGCCGGUGAAUUCUUCUUCUUCUCUGCUGUUCCCUCGGGAAGACGAUGCAGUCCAUCGAUCCGUCUGUGGAAAUAAAAUUUCUCCUCUCUCUGAACCUUCAAUCUCCUCUGCGUUAAUUUGUAUAACGCCAAACGCUCCAGUUAGUCAUGGUACGCUCUACCCUUAUGCAGAUCUUCUGCUUCUUAUGUCCAAAUAGACUUGUUUUUGCAUCGUGUCAGCUACAACCCAACAGUGCCAGUGAAACUCGGCCAAACAACAGUGCGCAUUAGACACAGAAAAGAGAGCUCUUCUGCUCACGCAUUUUAUCAAAUGUUACUAUGGUAUGAACGAUGAAGAGAAAUCGAACGAUAAUGACUCUCCAUGAACUAACAAACAGCGGCAUCAGCCAGCAUUUCCAUUUCAGAAGACAUAAAGUCUGAUUCACUCAGCUCCUCAUGGGCCUCAUAGUCAUCCGUAAUGGCGACAUACCAAUCUUGCUUCAUCUGUCCUAAGAGAUCUUAACAAAGAAUAAAUAUCACCCUUAUGAGGGUGCCUCUUGUCCUUGACAAUGAAGACAUGAACUUGACCCUGAAUUUCUAUCCAGCUACAACCGGGCUGCUUGACUACUCCUCGUCACCUCAUCGGCUUCCUUAUUCCAAUGACAUCGCCCAUUUUUUGCUUUCCGCGUACAUGUUUGAGAGCAGAACAUAAGGUCCAGAGUUCGAAGGGUCGAUCUCUAAGAGCUUCUCUGCUACAUGCUUUCCUAGCAUUAUAUCCUUAUGAACUUUGCAGGCUGUGAGCAGCGAACCCCAAACGAUAGCAUCAGCUUGAAUGGGCAUUGCCUCUAUUAAGUCCUUUGCUUCACUGGGACAACCGGAUCGGUCGAGCAAAUCAACCAUGCACGUAUAAUGGUCCUUUACCGGUGCCAGACCAUACUCCUCAACCAUCCGCUUGAAAUAAUGGCACCCCUCUUCGACCAGCCAUGCAUGGCUGCAUGCACAUAGAACCCCGAUCAUAGUGACAUGGUCUGGUCUCUCGCCAGAUACCAACAUUUUCCUGAAUCAGUAACCGUUCUGCGCAUAUCCGACAAUUGUGGCAUUCCAUGAGACCUUGUCCCUGUCCAACAUAUCUUUGAACACCCAUAAACCAUCUUCCACAGCUCCACAUUUAACGUCCAUGUCUAUAAGAGAAUUUCCAACAAAAAUAUCGAAUUCUUCUCCAUACUGGAAGCGAAAUCCGUGCUUCAAGACAUGAGCACAAGCCUGCUGCCCCAACUGCAGAUCGGCAAGAUUUGCACAUGCAUUGAGAAAAUUUCCAAAUGUUUAGUGCGUCGGAACAAUGGCUUCUCUCUUCAAAAGGCGGAAUAAACCAAAUGCUUCUUCAUUCUCUCCAUUCUGGGUAUACCCUGCAAUAAGGGCAUUCCAAGAAACUACAUUCUUCUCCAUCAUCCUCAUAAACAUUACUCUUGCAGUUUUGAGACUUGCUGCUCUUGCAUACCCGCUUACCACGGAGGUGGCUGACACUAUAUCCCUGGUAGGCAUUCUGUCAAAAACUGCUCUGGCCUCGCUAAUUCUAGAGCACUUAGAAUACAUAUCAACCAAUGCAUUUCCUAAAACAACAUCAUUUCUAAAUUUGUCACAUUUUACAACAUGGGCAUGAAUUUGCAUCCCUUCCUUAAGUGCCGACAGGCUAGCGCAUGCGCUGACCACACUGACCAAAGUGACCUCAGCUAUUUCAAACCCACAAUCCAUCAUGCUCACAAAAACCUCAAGAGCUUCACUGGCUGGACCAUUUUGUUCAUAACAUGUAAUCAAGCUGUUCCAAGAAACUACGUUUCCAGAACUCAUUUCAUCAAAAGCCCUCUGUGCACAAGCCAUGUUGCUACUCCAAGGCUGUGCACAAGCCAUGUUGCUACUCCAAGGCUGUGCACAAGCCAUGUUGCCACACUUGGAGUACAUGUCGAUAAGAGCAGAGCCCAUACGAACAUCGGACGAGCACUCAGACUUCAACAUCAAAGCCUGAAUCUGCUGGCCCAGAUCCAUAUCCCCUAACCCAGCGCAUGCACUAAGAGCACUACCAAAUGAGUACUCAUUAAGCACAUAAUUCUCCCUAUGCAUCUUACCAAAACAUCGCCAAGGCUUCUUCAAAUCUUUCAUGCUGCGCAUAGCCCGACAGCAUUGAAUUCCACGAGUACUGGUGGGGUUCCAGCACCGACCCGAAUAUCUUUUCUGCUUCAUCAAGAGAACCCAGUCUGAUCAACCCACCUAAGAUCGCAUUCCGUGUGAAGGUAUUCUUCUCAGGCAUUCUAUCGAACAUUCUGCAGGCGUCGUCGAGGCACCCGCAUCUCACAUAGAUAUCGAUGAGCCGGUUCUGGAUGAAAACCUCAGCGGAGAACUGGGUCCUGAUGAUCCGAGCGUGGAUGCGGCACGCGUCGCGUGCUGACUUGGACAGGCCGCAGCCGUCCAGGAGCUUGGCGAAGGGGGACGAGGUGGCGAAAGACAGAUAGCCCGCCAGAGCCUUGACCUGCGCAUGCCUCACCAUUCCAUCAUAUCAUCGUAAGAAGUGAACUCUCUCGGAGAAGAUUCGCAUAGGUGUAAAUUGAAUGCGAUGGGGAGUUUCUGUUGACCGUUAUAUGCUUCCCCACUUCAGCCAGACGCGCGGGAACAUGAUACGAGCGCUCAUAUGAAGUGGGGCAAAGUUGCACCGUUGCAGUGGCAAAAUGGUAAUUUAGCAUAACAAUCUACUAAUUAGACUCAUGACUAUGAAUUAAAUUUUUAAUUAUGAGUAAAUCUAAGCUAUAAAUUGAAAUAUGUCAUAUAUUUAAUAUCUUGUUGUAAGUCACUGAAUUAAGAUUAGUCAUAUUUAAAAUCUAUACUUAUUGCUUUAUCAAUUAUAAUUAUAAGCUUAAUAUAUGACAAGUCAAUUUUAUUAAGAGAUAGCUGGAUUAUUUACAAAUCAAACAUAAAUUCUUGUUUAGUAAUUUUGAUCAUUCUAAUUAUAACUCAUUCUGACCAAAACAAGAAAAAUUUAACUCAUCAUUGAAAAAAUGCAAAAACCAAUUCUAGAGAAUGAAAAUUAGAUAUAUGUUGGAUGGGAUAGCUUUUCAUUGGCCCCCUCCCUCGAGGAAUAGCUAACCUUGAUUUUAAGAGAAUAGCUAUUAAUUUGAUGGAGCUAAUCUUGAUUUACUUCUUAACCAACUAAGGACUAACUAUCUUAUCAUGAGUAGACUGAGAAUAAUGUAGCUAUUGUGAUAUUUCUACAUUAACUCGCAACAUUAGUAAUGUUCUAACUUAAUUGCACUUAACUUUAGAGUAAAACUACCAAGAUAGGCGGCUGUACUUUCAAGAGGUCACUUAUCUUGAUAAUGCUCUAACUUGACCACGCUUAACUUUGGAACAGAAGUAUUUAUUGGUCUCAUGGGAAAGUGCUUGUCUGCACGCCAAAUGAUAAAAUCGUGAGAUUUGAAAUGGGAUGGGUCCCAAUAGAUAAUACCUUGAGUGAAUUAAUUCAGAAACAUCAUAGUUAUCUGUCCUAGAACAAAAGGUGCAGUUGAAUUUUCAAUUAAGACACAUCUUGUUCAAGUGAGGAUUGUCCCUUUUGUUUUGUUUUGUUUUCUUGGUUUUUUUUUUUUUUUUUUGAAUGAAUAAUUUGAUCUUCUUAGAUGUUCUGGUAAGAAAAAUCGAUUGAUCUUCUAAGAUGUGCGCUCCCGUGAGCCUUUGUGAGGGAGAGCUUCAUGAUAAGAAAUGAAGCCCAUCUGAACACACAUCCAAUCCGUCAAGGCUUUGAAACUCUUUCGGCUUUAUGCGACCAAGAACUGUCGGAUCUGAGAGUUGUUUCAGGUCUUGAAAGGCCCAUUGAUGUUCUUAUUUCCUUGCGAAGUGGGAUAUGUAAGACAGACAAAUUCCUGGGAAGCCUAGGUAAGAACCUGAGGUUCUUAAAAACUGAGGACGAGUUUCCUGAGCAGAGGAAGGACAAUGAGAUAUGAAGAUAGGGUGGUGAUUUGCCGGGCUUGCAACUGCAGCAAGGACUCGAGUUUGCUUAACCUUCCAAUCCACCAAGGAUCAUGGAGCUUCUUAAAGUCCGUAAGUGUCCUCAGGAUACCUCAAUACAUAUAAACACAAGCAUCUUUGAUUUAAUAGGUUUGGGAGAUCUGGAAACGAGUACAUUGAGAAAAUUACAAGCACAAAUUAGUUUAGACUCUCGAGAAGCAUAGGAAGUCCCGGAAUCUGAGUUCUUGUCAAUCUCAAGAUCCUCAGAGAUUUAAUUCUCCUAACAUCAGUCGGAAUUUCCCCCUUCGUAUGCUUGCAACCACCGCCAUUUAUCUCUGCAAGCUUCUGCCAGCAUCGCCAUUCAGAUUAAUUGAGUUUCCUAUUGAAUAAGGUAAUUCCGGAAUAGAUGAGGAAGGAUAGAUCCAACUGCAUUCUUGAUUCCAUGUUUCCCCAUUGUCUCUGGUAGAAAUCCUACAGAACUUCAAGUUCAAAACGAAUGGUCACAUCAAUUCGGACCAAUCUUUUACGUCUUUCAAGAAUCAGUUGCUCUGAACUCGCAUGAUAAGAGAGGUUGGGAGUUCUGUGCAACUGUUCACAUCCAGUCGGAUUUAGACCCUUCAAUUUCCGUGCCAUAAGUAAGGAGAUCACAAAUAAAUAUUGCGUCUUCACUGGCAGCAAGAGUAAUCACAUAAAAGUUUUCGACUAAUGUUAUUGUACAUUGAUGUGACUCCAUCUACCAAUACUCCAUGGAAGAUCAAGGAUAACCAUCUUCUGUAAGGAAAAGAGUUGUUCAACCUAAAAUUCCUGGGAAAGUCAGUGCCAUGAAAGCCAUCUCGACUUCGAAAGAACGAGUGGAUUCUUGCGGCAACAAAAGUUAUGCCAAGAAAUCCUUGUUAGAGUAACUUAAGAAUAGGCUUUUAGUUUCUUCAUCCACAAAGAAGUCCUCAGAUAUAAGCUAGAUAUACAUUCCUUAACGUUUCGCUAUCCCCUCAGCAGAAAAAUAAAAGAGUAGUUAAUACUGACCUGGCUUCCUUCUAUAUUUAUUCAAGGUCUACAUUUCUAUUUUUUUCGAGAUUUUACUGAUGAUUUUGAUGUUCGUAUAUGAGAAAUAGCCCAACUUGGACUGAGGUGCAAUAAUAAAAACAAACAUAUUCAUGACUUAUCUUUCUGUAACUCAUCUGAACUUCAAGUGCCUCCUCGUAAUUCCCUCUCCUACUUUGCUUCUCGAGUUUCAUAUCAUUUGCUUCACGAACGGUACCUCUCCCAAGGUCUCUUAACCAAUCACGCAUCCACAGUCGAGAGUCUUCUCUAAUUUUUAUUAGAGUCAUCUGCUGGAAAACUUGAACAGCUUCUUCAGAGAAAAGAUUACAGCACUCCCACAUGUGACACACAAUUCUUUUAUCAAACGCAAUGAAUAAUCAAGCAAUAUCUAAGAAUAUGUUUUCUGUCAAGAAUCUAAUGCCUCAAUACUGAUCAUCAACUUCUUUUUAACAUCCUCAUGACGAAAUUUUUCCAACCUCGUCAAUAUGUUAUUCAGCUUUGUUAUGGUUUUCCCUGACAAGAAUGAACCUACAAUCGCAAGUGCUAGAGGAAGACCAUCGGAAAUAUUCACCGCUUGUAUAGAAACAAGGAUGUACCCCUCUGAUGGAUAAUCUCUUCCAAAGGUGUGUCUGCUGAAAAGUUGGAGGGAAUGAUCAAAAUCCAUGCAAGUAAGUUCAUAAGUGCAAUCAACUAUAGUCGGACUGAGUACUCCCACGUUUCUUGUGGUAAAACCAAUCAUGCCUUGCCACAAGAGCGUCUGAGUGUAUUCUUAAGUCGACAUCAUCAGGACGUAGAACUCUUCUGGAGGAUUACCUCUCCUUGAUUGUAUUUAUCCCUUCAUCAAUAUUAUUAAUUUCGGACCAUUUCCUUUGGAGGAUACUAGAGAUGAGUUGAUUCUGCAAAUACUCUACACUUUUUUACUUUGACGUUUCUCGAAUGUCAGCAAGGAAGCAACAGCGAUUAAAACCAUCUCAAAAUUUAUUGUAGACAAUUAUGGCAAGUGUCGUCUUUCCAACACCACUGAUUCCAUAAAUUCCGAUCAUGCCUGUUUCAUUCGUGUGAGCGCCCAUCAUCCUCUUGACUUCAUUUACAUAACUAUCCACUGCAACCAAGAAAUCUGAUACUACCAAGUAGGCCUUUUUCAACUCCAUCAAAACCUUCAACCAAAAAAGCAACCAAAAAAAAAAAACUCCAUCAAAACCUUCCUGAUAACUUCCUUUCGGAACUCACCUUCCCUCUGAUAGCAUUCAAUGCAAAAGAACCAAGAUGCUGAAAUGAGUUAAACAAAGUUAAUUACAGGAAACAAACAAGUCAUAAGGAAUGAAUUUAGUUAUCUUUUCGGAUUGUUUUGGAAGUCCCACCCUUUAUUGCUCCAACCCCAAUGAAAGCAGCCCUCCAAGUGUGGAGAGUCUUGUGAUCAAGCCGCUUCUUGUUUUCAUGAGAAUCAAAGCUUUGUUGUAGAGCCCAGUUUGAUAUCAUACCCCUCAUGGUCCAACUUCUUAGAAAAUGGACAUAAUUUUGCGUCCUCCUGUUCCUGCACUCUGUAAUCUGCACCAAUUUGCUAAAGCACCAUUCACUGGCAGCAUAUCCUUUAGAGAAGAUGGGUAUCAAGGAUUUUUAACUGCUCCACCGCUUGAAGAAGCUCCACGCCUUCUCCGCGAAGCCCUUCAUCAUCUCUACAUACUCGAAUUCCAGCAUCUUUUAUGUUGGUAUACAGGAAAUCAAUUUUGCCAGAGCAUAUCUGGAUCUCUAAAGCUUAAGAAUGCUUCUUAAUCAUAUCCUAUUGACUUCCCCAUUUCCUGAAUAGUAAGGUGCAACAAUAGCACAUCAAUAUCUGAAAUUACAUAGUCGAUGGUCAUGAUGCAUCAUCAUAAUUAUCUGCUCUUUCUUUUUGGUACAUUUCUGUCACCAAGACUUACCCCAAGAAAUUCAUACUGCACCUGAAAAUGUUAAAUACAUAGACGCAGUGAUGAUGAGGCCAAUUUCUAUCAGAUGCCAAUGCAGAGAUCUAUUCUGGUAUAGAGAACCUCUUUGACAAAAGCAUAUUGUUUCUCAGCAUUUUGUGCGAGCAAUUAGUAAAGCACAGCACCCUCUUCCUUUACGGGCCUCACAACAGUGAAAGGGGUAAAAAGAAACUGAUAUAAAUGAUAUGUAACUAUUUUCUCUGGAAAGAUGAGCCAUUUCAACUGCUCAGAUUUACUAUCCAGACUGCCCGUAUUAGUUUGUUAUAUAAAUGGAAAUACAGUAAUAUUCACUAAAAAGAUGCAAACGCUAUUCUGAGUAAUGCUCAAAUGGCCAAUGAAAUAAGAAAACAAAGAAAAGUGGAGCAACAUUAGUAGUCUGUUUAUUGUUUGGCUUAUAUCUGUGUUGAUGUACUACUAAGUAAAUUUGAUUAUAAAAAAUGACUUAUUACCCAAUGAUGACUCCUUUGAUUUCAAGUGACAAGGAAGUGGAAAAGGAAGUGGAGUUCUGCAAAAACAUUGUCGCUAAUUACAAAGUUGGAUUCUGAAGCAGAAGUAACAAAGACAUAAGACACUACUUAAGACAGAGGCCAAGAGUUUAAAAAGAAGGAAUACGUAUUACUUGGUCCAUCUUAAAUUUUGGUGAAGGCUUCACAACUUUCUAAUCAAAAAGCAGUGCUCAAAGAUUGCCUCCUCUGCAUUCUUCUUCAUUUUAUGCAAUUGAACCUAUAAUUGCAGGUCAAAAGAGGGUAUUCUUAAGUGCAAUUUGCUGCAAAAAAUGUCCCAGCAGCUUGAUUAAUGAACUUACUAGGCCAUAGAAAGGGAGUGCAAAUCUACUUCACAGUUAUCUUCAUAACCUCCCUUCUUUGAUGUUAUCCAUAUGUUCAACAGACAAAUUAUGUCAAGAGAACAACAUUUGACUGAAAAUUCCGUCAAACGACUCAAAAUCUGCAGGUUAGAUACCAUUUCUAGUUCCCAAAGGAGUUCGGGUUCAUCAUAAGGAAUUUCGCAAAAAGGCAGAAAUCAAGGGAUUAUUGAUAGCCAACAUUCGGCUUUGCUAUCCAUAUAAACUCACAAAUCAGCAGACAAUUUACCAUUAAUUAGCUCAGGUAAUAGUAGAGACACUAACAUUCAUUCAUGAGAGAAUAGGAAAGAAAUAAUAGUAUGAUGGUUGACUUGCAACUGAUGGAAAAGCAGAAAUUGGUGUGCUGAAGUUCGAAUAAAGUGAAUGAAAUCAAUGGCUUUCUUGUCUCUCUCAUGGGCUAAAGUUCCCCAACUCGGCUGUUAUCUCAUCUCUCCAUUUCUGUUCUUAAUUUCAUCUUCUUGAAUCACUGUGUACUAACUCAGAAGAGACUAUGUCCGGCUAUAACUAAAUCUCAUUAGCCAAAUGAAAUCAAAUAAUUCCAAUGUAACUAAUUUAAAGUUUACCUUGGCAACCGUCGAGGAUGUGUGGUGCCAUGCAAGGCGACACUGAGAUUGUGUGACCUCUGCAGCCGCCGCCAAAGGGCUGGAUUUGGGUUGAUUGACCAUCGACCUCAACACACAGCGGCUCAGGCAAAGACAGCAGCUCGACGGUCAGUGCGGCCCAAGUGAGGGCCAUUAAGGCGUCUCGAUGCCAGGCAAGGUGACAUCGAGGUCACAUGACCUCCGCAACGCCUGUAUAACUUCGCAUAUCUUUUUUUCUUUUUUUCUUUUUUUGUGAAAAAAAAAAGGACAACUAGCCAAAAUGUUGACUGCUCUGCAUGUCUCGUUUGUUUAGGUCAAUGAUACACUGGCUUCACAGUUGCUUCCUCUCUUCAAUGCAUGGGCCAAAAAAUGAUUCAUUUUUUCCCUUCCACACUGAUCGGCAACUCCAUAUAGAAUAUUGCUUUCAGAUCCUUCUUCCUGAAUACCAUCUCUCAUGCAGAAUCAACUUUUCUCAAUCAAUGUCUGAGCCUUUAAGCCGUCAUUCACUUGUCUCCCUUCCGACGGGUAAUCAAUGUCCUCAGUAAUGUUUAUACCCAUUUAAUAGACUCUCCCAUCCCCAGGAAGCCUUAGCCCCCAGUUCACAGCUUGCAUUAACUCACUCCUUAGAAAAUUCAAACACUUUGUCGGAAUUUCUUUUGACACUUUCGAUAUCAUCCACACAAAGUUGCAUCUCUUUUAGAGGGAACAUUUUUUUUUUUUCUCAAGGUCGCUAGUUUAGAUGACCCCUUGAAAGUUCUUUUUAUCAUCCUCUCUAACCAAAUUAAUCUUAGACAUAUCUAAUUCUAAGCCUUUACUUUCCCCUUUCUUUGUACACCAAUGAACAUAUCCUAAUAUUUGAACUGUGAGGCUGCCAUAAUGAUAUUGGUAGUCUUUUCACAUGGGCAAAUAUGUUAUACAAGAAAUGAAGGACUCGUGACAAGUAGAGUUUCCAUCACAUAAUAAGCAAUAGUAACUAUCUUCAUCGAGAUUUAGACAACCAACAGACAACCAUGAAAACAAGGGACAGGAUCAUGCUUUCUGUGAAUUAAAUUGCUUCUCAAUUUCUAAAGGCACCAGAAUUGACCAUAGUCAGAAUGGAGAAUGAAGAACAGAGAUUUGAAAACUGAUUGAUUCAUCAUGAAAUCUAAAGCAGUAAUCAUUACACUCUUUACAGAUCAAUUUGCUGGUUAAUUCCAAUUGGUAAAAAAACUGUCUCUUUACCUGCCAACUCUGAUUCCUUGGCUCCACCUAUUUACUUCUCUGGCUCAGACUUAGUGACUUCCUUCAAAGUCCUCCAAUCAUUAGAUCCCAGCAAAUCUUUUACCUUCUCACACUCAUGUAUCCUCAAAUAUUUUAGCUUCUUGAAGCUUGAUGGAGCCGGUAGCUUUUCCAGAUCUCUGCAGAACUCAAUAUGAAGCAUCUCCAAUGAUUCUAGUCUGCCUUGAAUCUCAACCAGUUUAGGACAAUUAUACAGUUUAAGUUUCGUGAGGUUGUUUAAGGUAGUGAGGUCGGGCAAUUUUUCCAGUGAUGUAACUCUAAAGAACUUCAAUGAUCUCAGCUUCUCCAAGCCUUCAAGACCUUGAAUCUCUGUUAUUUCACAACAUGUAACUUCCAAAUCCGCUAGUGCCCUCAAGUUUGAAAGGUCUAUCAAUGUCUUCAUUUCCCAACAACCUUUUAUAACUAAGCUCGACAAACUUGCGGGAAUCCUCGGAAGGUAUUUCAUGUACUCACACCUGAGCUCAAGUUCCUUGAGUUCAGAAAGGAGGACAAGGUCUGAAGAUAGGGUGGUCAGGUAAGGAGAUUCCGGCCAUAUAGACUCUAGUUUGUGUAAACUUCCGAUCCACCAAGGACCAGAAGUUUUCUCAAGUUCAGAAUGGUCCAUCCUUGAACUCCACAAAACCAAACUCAAAUCUCUUAAGUUCGAUAGGUUUGAGAGAUCUGGGAAUGUCUUCAUUGACCAAGUGCCAAAGUAAAGACUGGUCAGACUUUCAGGAAGCUUGGGCAAUCCUGAAACUCGAGUGUAUGUCAGUCUCAAGACUCUUAGAAAUUUUAAUCUCCCGAUAUUGCUCGGCAUUUCCCAUUCCAAACAUCCACGGCAGUCAGCAUCUAACUCUUCAAGCUUAUCCAAUAGUCCUAUGGCACUGGGUAGUUUUCUCAAGGUACUGCAGCGUAUUCUCAGUACUUUCAAAUUCUUCAUAUUUCCUAACGAAGAAGGUAGCAUUUGAACCUGUGAGUGGGAUAGAUCCAACUCAACCAGUGAUUGCAAGUUCCCAAUGGACUCUGAAAGUUGAGUAAUCUUAGUUUCUACAAACGAAAGCUUCAAUAAUGAUGCUAAGCAGCCAACUGAACUACAAUCAGUCAAAUAUUUACAAUUACGAGCACUAAGAAUUUCCAGUUUCUUCAUUACUUUCCAUUCGGGAAUUUCUUUUAUUGAUGUGCCAUCCACAAGAAUUUCUGUUAAAGCUUCUAGUUUAGCAAGCUCAUCUGGCAGCUUGCUGAGUUUAGUGCAGAACUUUAAGUUUAAGAAAACUAACUCCUUUAGCUGACCAAUAGAUCUAUCAAUAUGGACCAACUUCCGACAUCUUUCAAGAAUUAAUCUCUCUGAAAAUACAUGAGAUGAGAAGUCAGGCGUUCUAUUUAACUUUCUGCAUCCAGUCAGAUUUAGAACCUUUAAGUUCUUUGCCAUCUGUAAGGGAGAACAACAAAAUUUAAAUCCCAUUAACGAGAUAGAAGAUUAAAAAAAAGAUAUUGAACUUAUUUUGAAACACUUCCUACGCUUCUACCUUGAUGUGGCUCAUCUACUCCAUUUUUUUGUAAUUUUACUCCAUGAUAGAUCAAGAAUCACUAGCUUUGUCAGGGAAAGAGUGGUCAGAUCAAAAGUUGCAGGAAAGUUAUUCCAUGAAAGCUAUCUCAACAUCAAAAAUAUGUAUGGACUCCUCCGGAAAAAACUGGCUGGAAGAACAUUCAAGUGGCAACCACACUGAAAAGAACUGACUUGAGCAAAACAAUGAAGGUUUGUGCUUGUCUCAUUGAAGUUUACGCGAUCCACUUGCAAGAACCUUAGGUUUGAUAGACUGGCAAAUACUUCAUAUGUAAUGUUGUAUUCACAAUUACUUUCAAACUUGAGACAAAUUGCUUCAACAUUUUCUAAUCCCUGGCAAAAAGGGAAAUAGCAGUUAGAAAGCAAAUAGUUCUUGUUUGGAAAAUUAUAUUCAUUUGGGGUGCUAUCUUUCCUCGAAAUUAUAUAUUACUUUAGGAGAUAUGUCGGUACUGUGAGUGGAAAAGAAAUAAUACACAAGAAAUUCUUUUAAUUGGUGACUAGUUAAAUAGAACGCUCUUGAGAAUGAAUGACUUUGUAUACUCACCUUUGUCCUCAUAAGAAGAUCAAACACAUCAUCAUGAUUCCAUACUCUGCUUUGCUUCUCUGAUCUCAUAGCACACUCUUGAUGAAUGAUUUCAUGUCCAAGGUCUCUUAGUUGAUCACGCAUCCAAAUACAGUUGUCUUCUUUAAUCUUUAUUAAAGACAUCUUCUGGAGGACUUCAAUGGCUUCUUCAGGAAAAAGCUCCCAACUUUCCCACAUAUGGAUCACAAUUCUUUUAUCAAAACCAAUGAAGAAACAGGCAAUAUCAAGGAAUAUGCUCUUUUGUCUAUCAUCUGAUGCCUCAAAACUGAUCUUCAACUUCUUUUUUAUGUCCUAAUGAAGAACUGUUUUUUUUUUUUUUUUUUGGGUAAGUCCUAAUGAAGAACUGUUUCCAGCUUCUUUAAUGUGAUAUCCCAUUGUGCUUUGCUUUUUCCAGAUAAAAGUGAACCCAUAACCUCCAGAGUCAGAGGUAGACCGCCACUAAUGUUCACGGCUUUUAUGGAGUAAGGGAGGAAUUCCUCCAAAGGAUAAUCUCUUCUAAAUGCAUGUCUGCUGAAAAGUUGCAGAGAAUGGUCAAAAUCCACGCAGGGAAGUUCAUAAGUCCAAUCAACUUUCGGCUCAUGAAGAACAUCAUUGUUUCUGGUGGUAAUGAUAAGCUUGCUUCCUUUGCCAAAACAUUUUCGCUUCCCCAGGAGAGCAUCCAGUUGAAUCCUUUUGUCAACAUCAUCAAGUAGAAGUAGAACUCUUUUACAGAAUAACCUCUUCUCAAUUAUCAUAGUCCCUUCAUCCAUAUUAUCAAUGUCUAGCCAUUUCCUUCAAAGGAGUAUAGGGAUGAGCUGAUUCUGCAAAUACUCAAUACCCUUCUACUCAGCAGUUUCUCGUAUGAUAGAAAGGAAGCAACAACCCUUAAAAUGAUGGGAGAGUUGGUUGUAGACGAUUUUGGCAAGUGUCAUCUUCCCAACACCACCCAUGCCGUGGAUUCCAACAAUCAUAGUUUCACCAGUGUCAGCAAACACGUUCUCAUUAUUUCACCUACAUGAUUGUCCAUUUCAACCAAGCAAUCAGAUACGACUAAGUAGGCCUUUUUUAACUUAAUCAAAACCCUGUUGACAACUUCUUUUACGAACUCACCUUUACCUCUGAUAGCAGUAAAGGCAAAAGAACUAAGAUGUUAGAUUAAGAAGCAAAAAAACUAACCAAAAAACAGAAAGAAUAUUCAUCUCUGGAGAAAAACAGAUUAUAGACCAUGAUGAAGAGCAAGACCUAUUCGGAUUGCUUUGGAAAUCCCAUCCCUUUUAAGGCUCCUAUCUCAUUGAGAGCAGCCUUACACCCAAGCAUGGUGUUUUCAUCAAACUGCUUCUUCUUCACGUGCAAAAGAAAGGCCUCACCAUAAUCCCCAAUUUGGUUUCGAACCUCAGAUGGCCUGACACCAAAGAAAAUGGGCACAAUCUUCUGCCCCGUAGCUCUCUUGCACUUCACCGUCUGUACCAAUUCCGUAAGACGCCACUUACUGUUGGCAUAGCCUUUAGAGAAGAUGGGUAUCAAGAUUUUGGACUGCUCAAUUGCUUGGAGAAGCACUGGACCGAUCUCUUCGCCAGUACGGAGCUCUUCGUUAUCUCUGUAUGCUCGAAUUCCAACAUCAAUGAGAUUGGUAUACAGGAUAUCAGCAAUGUCCAAGUGUGUAUCGGGUCCUCUAAAGUUGAAGAAUACUUUGUAACAUGUUGACAUGGCUUCACAACUUCCAGCGUUUGAGAUGAUUCCUCAGUAGACAAGCAGCAGCAGAAUCACCAACAGCUUCGGUGAUCCCGUUGUCUGUAUUCACCUCUUCACUGGGUUGUACAGAAAGAUGGAAACAAUGGAAGCGACGAUCAAUGCUGAGUGCGAGGACCAACCUGGGGGCACCCUCUAAACCUGUAAAAACAAUGUUGUGAAGAUUUCUGUCAGGAUGGGAAACAAAUGUAUGUGAGAUCUGCUCAGAUCAAUGAUUGAUAUCAGCCUUUUUUCUGGGUAACAGUGUAUCUAAUAUAUAUUCCAUCGUCUUCAAAAACUAAAGAAGGAAGCUUCCUCUUCACUUCAACCGAGGCAUCCACGAUUUAGUUAUUUUGUCGGCCAUAUACACACGAUUAAAACGCGGCCUCUCUAUGGCAGCCACGAGGGAGGAUAAGAUAACCUCGACGGAGCAAGCCAACAAAAGAGACAGCUUUUACCGUAUUAGUGAUGAUUACCUUGGAUUUUUUACUAUUAUUCUUCGUAUACAAAAGCUACUAGUCCCUGAUAUGUUGAUGAGUCCGUUAAAACUUUAAAAAUUACUCACCCCUUGGUAGGAACAGAAGAUGCACAGCAGAAGCAAUAUGAAAAAUAAUCUUCGAGCCUCAGCUCUUAUUCAACAUUAGAAUAACAGUAGAAGGAGCUUGCAAUACUUAGAGCUUCUGAGAUGCCGCCCAACCCCUGAAAUCAGGCGCAACCAUCGCCUACAUUCUUCCAUCUACCAUACUUAAAAGUCCAAGAGAGAAAAAAUAUCCUAAAAAAUUACUCUGACAAGUCGGAUUCCACGAGAUCAGACUGCGUCUCCGCCUUCAAAGUCCUCCACCAAUCAUCACAACCCAGAGAAUCUUCUACCUUCUCACACUUAUGUAUAAGCAAAGAAUUCAGCUUCUUGUGGCUUGAUGGAUCGGGUAACUUUCUGAAAGAUUUACAGGAACCAAUCCAGACUGUCUCCAACAAUUCUAGUCUGCCUUUGAUCUCGACUGUUUCAGGACAACACUGCAGAUAAAGUUUCUGGAGCUUCUCUAAGUUGGUCAGGUCAGGCAACUUGUCCAAAGAUGGAACUGCUUCAGCUUGGAUACAGUAGUAACACAAAUGAGAGAAGAAAUGUUUGUACUAAUAUUUUCUGAUUAUUACUUGUGUAUAAGGAACUUGCAAUAUAUAGUUUUAAUUUGAUGGCCAACCACUGAAAUCAGGUAUGCAAACAACGUUUAAAUUCUACCAUUAACCAAACUCAAAAGGUCGAAGAGAGUAAAAGAUUCCUCAAGAAAAACAAAAAAACUCGCACAAGUCAGAUUCUACAAGACCAGAAUGCUCUCUUCCUUCAAGUCCUCCACUGACCAUCAGAACUCAGAGAAUAUUCUACGUUCUCACGCUCAUGUAUAUAAAAAUAUUUUAGCUUCUUGAAGCUUGAUGGAUCCGGUAACUUUCCCAAAGAUAUAAAAGGGACCUAUCCAAAGUGGCCUUAACAAUUUUAGUCUGCCUUGGAUCUCGACCACUUUAGGACAUCACCGCAGAUAAAAUUUCUGGAGCUUCUUCAGGUUGGUCAGGCCCGCAACUUGUACAUAGAUUGAACUCCUUCAACCCUUUAAGCCACGCAGGUUCUCCAAAAUUUGGAGGCCUCUGAACUCUCUCACUUUAUGGCAAUGAGCAACUUCCAAAUCUGACAGCGCCUUCAAAUUUGAAAGGCCUAUUUGAUGUUUCUAUUUCCCUCCAUGAUUCCAUAUCCAAGUACGACAAAUUUGGGGGAAGGCUAGGUCGGCAUUGCAGCUUCUUUCGGGGGACCAGUUCAGGUUCCCUGAGCUGUGAAAGAAGAAUGAUGUCUGAAGAUGGGGUGACGAAAUAAUGAGAUUCCAACAGCAAGGAUUCCAGCUUCCUAACCUUCAGCUACGAAGGACUUCGAACUUCAUGAAUUUAGAAGUACGUCGAAAUUGUCAAAACCUGAAUUUUACAUAUAUUUGAAUAUCGAAUUAAUAAGUAAUUUAACAUCAAGUGAAUGUGCGUGUGUGUGUGUGUGUGUAUAUAUAUUUUAUUACGUUAUAUAAUCAAAAUCUCAUACAAAAGAUCCACCUUAAAAAGAUGUGUUAAGUCUAAAUGUCCCUAAACUCUGAACCCGACCAAUAUGUUUAAUAUUUUAGAGGGAGUGAGUCUAAGCUCAGUAUAUGAAAGCUCCACGUCCAACAUAGGAGGCCUCCCCACCACUCAACCCGAGAACACAACAGUAUAGUAACAAUUAGUGAAUAAGGUCAUAUUAUCAUUGUCAAUAGGAAAACCAAUAUUCACCUAAGAUAGGGUAAUCUGUGCAUUAUAUAAAAAUGACUAUAAUUAUCUGUGCAAUGAAUAAAAUAGAUGCAAUGUAUGACAUUCGUUUUAACAGUCAAUUGCACACAAAUGAUCAUACGAAAUCUCAUGAUGCUUAGAUAUCAGUAGCUCAUCAAUCUUGGACCUCAAGCUUAAAUUAUCACAAAUAGACUAUUCAAGUCACAUCAGAUUACAGAAGUCACAUAAUUUAAUGCAUAUAUAGUUGUAAUUUGUCUUCUCAAUCCUAUAGAGAACAGACAUCUGUCUUUUCCCAGAUACUUAAAUACAUACUUGGAAAAAAAUUAAUUACAAUGUCAGUACAUUGCUAUCAACACUAGUAGAAUCUCAAUGGAGUUGGUAAUAUACUUAAUAUGGGAAACAAGCACACUUGGAGAGCGCAGUACAGCGGAGAGUUGUAUGCUCCGUUCGAAGGUAGUGCUGUGAAUUUACUUACGACACUGGUAAAAUUUCAAAUGAGUUGAGAGCAUACUACAUCAUUGAAAUAUUAGUGAAUUUCUGAUAGUGCUAGUAAUUCACUUACGACACCAGAAAUUUCCAGAAGAGUCGGUAAUUUACCAAUUUAGUGAGAAAUUGCUAAAUUUCUGAUUAAUUUCAGUAAUUUACUACCUGUUUAACUAACAACAAGUAACCAGUCAUUUUCUUUUACCCAACAAUUUCAAAUUUGCUGGUAAUCCCACCAAAAAUCUCAAACAAUGAAACUAGGAAAGCAGUUAUGAAUCAACUCAGAAGCGACUGCAGAAAUCUGUUUUAAGUCAUGAAAACUAAAGGACCUUUGCGACCAUUGCACAUGAUCAUUUACUAGGGAGUGUUAUGUUUAUGCUAGACACAAUGUCUUGCCCCUACUUCUUCAUUUCUUCAAUGUGGAAAUUUUCAUGGGAAAUCAGCAACAAUUCUGUGAAUAUGGUUGCUGAUGUCUGAUUGAAUUCACGACACUGAAUGCAGCACAUUCUCAGGGUAAUGUCUCGAGAACAUUAAUCUCUACAAAUGAAUUCUGCAGCAAGGCAUCUGGAAGCCUUGAUGAAUUUCUUCCACAACAAGAUUUAAUCACUAAGUACACCAGCUAAAAUUUUAGAAGUAAGUAGGACCACAACAGACCAAGAGAAGAAGAAAGAAAUUGCAGAACCAAUCGAUUAUAGUAAGAUUCCAUGCCUUCCAGGACAAUAUUUCGGUUUUAGCUAGACCUUGACAAGCUCAGAAGAACAACUGAUUCGCCAUGUGUGUUCUGAACUAGUUCCUAAGGAGCAAAAAUCAAUCCCCUCAUUGGUGCAGAAGUGAACUGACGCACAGGAGUUGCAAUGCGUUUCAAUAGAAUGUGACUGGGUUAAGGCUAAAGCUAUUAAAGAUUAGAUGCAGAUGGAACAAAAUCAAUCGAGUGAGCUGCCGAGCGAGUUCAUCGAAAGGCUGUUUUCAUUGCGUAUGUAUGAUUAGUCAUGACUGAAAAUGAUAAAAACCAACUCAAUCCGUUCAAAAUAUUUUCCUAAUCCAUCACUGAUUGCAUCGAAGAUUCGCACGCAGACCCAAUUCAUGCAAAUGCGAAGAGAAAAUUACCAGAAGAAAAGAAUAUAGGCGAAGAUGAAGGAAACCAAAUGAAGAUGCAGAAGGAAGAACCCUCGUGGGCCUCAGUCAGCUGCAACCACAAUGGAAAAGGAAGACCACAAUCCAUUAACCCCUCGGUGGGAACAGAUCGGCGGGCAGGAAGACGGGGUCGCAGUCUCCGGAGGGAGAUCUCCGCCCAGUCGAAUCGCGUCUCGUUCUCCUCUCGGGGUCGCUGUCGCUGCUGGUUCUGGGCGAGCUCCUCGCUCGGGUCGUCGCUGAUGAGGCAGGAAGAUGAAGGAAAGGAGAAGGAAAGAAUGUGAGAAGACAGAUAGGGGGACAACGGGAGAAGAAAACGAAACAAAAAAUAAAAUAAAAAAUAAAAACAGAGAGAGAAAAAGUAGAACUUUCUUAAGAGUGGGUCCUACCUUUACCCGUAAUUUUUUCUCUACAAAAUAUCCCCCCACGUAUUUGGUAUUCUCCGUGAUUUCAGUACUCUGAUCCUUUUUCCUCGGAAGGGUCUCCGCACUUUUUUCAAAUCUCGGUACUCAUCGGAUUCCAUAAUCUCCUCCAAUCUCUCAGUCUUUUAUUUCCAAAUCCUCUAGCUUCUUGAAGCUUGAAGGAUCAGAAAACUUCUGCAAAGACCCACAGCCAUCAAUACAAAGCGACACCACUGACUUUAGCCUACCUCGUAUCUCAACCAGACGAGGACAACGCGUUAAUUCAAUAUCCUUAAGCUCCUUGGCAUUGGUCAGGUCAGGCAACUUCUCUAGCAACGGAAGAUUCUCCACACAUAAGACCCUCAAGUUCUCCGAAACUUCCAAGCCUUGAAUCUCUCUUAGCUUCCGACAACCAUUUAUAUUCAAUUCUUUUAUAUACUUAAAGCUUGAUGGAUCAGGCAGUUGUUCAAGUGAUUCACAAAAAAUUAAAUGGAGAGACUCCAAUGAUUCAAGCUUACCUCGAACCUCAACUAAUUUAGGACAAAGUUCUAUCUUAAGUUCCCAGAGGUUCUUCACUCUGGUCAGGUCAGGUAACUUCACCAGCAACGGAAGACACUGAAGAUAAAGAGUUUGUAGGUUUUUCAAAGAUUCGAUGCCUUGAAUCUCUAUUAGUUGUCCACAAAAACUGACAUCUAAAUAUGAUAACUUCUCCAAAUAUGAAAGAUUUAUCGACUUUUCCAUUAACCCACGCCCACCAAAAUGGAAGUAUGUCAAAUUCUGAGGAAGCUUAGGUAGGCAUUCUAGGUUUUUUAUGAAGAGUUGAAGCAUCUUGAGCUUCGAAAGGAGAUUAAAAUGUGAAGGUAGGGUGACUAGACUAUCACAACUCAACCACAAGUACUCUAGCUUUUUUAACCCUCCGAUCCAAUUGAGGCUGCCAGCUGGAUGGGAAGGGCUUUGAUUCUUUAAUACCAAAAACAAAACUCUCAAAUUUAAUAGGUUCGAGAGAUCCGGGCAUCUCAUUUGUACAUUAUCAAUCAGGUAUAGUUUGUUCAUACUUUUAGGAAGCUUAGGUAUAUUGGAAAUUUUCGUGCCCGAUAAACCCAAGAUUCUUAGAAAUGAUAGUUCUCCAAUCUCACUUGGAAUUUCCCCACUCAAAUAUGUACACCCAACAGCAUGAAUCUCUUCAAGCUUCUCCAACAUCCCAAGGGUGCUAGGUAGUUUCUCUAAGAUGCACUUAGAGAUGCUCAGUAUUCUCAAAUUCUUCAUCGUCUCUAUUGAGUCGGGUAACUCUCGUAAGUUUGACUGAGAAAGAUCUAACUCAACGAGAGAUUCAAAAUUUCCAAAUGAAAAUUCUCUAAUUCUUGUAUGUGACAAGUCAAGAUAUAACAGUGAUGUUGAGCAACCAGCUAAAUUGCAUUUACUCAAGAAGCUACAUGAAUUUGCACUGAGAGUUUCCAAUUUCUCCAUUCCUUUCCAUUCAGGAAUGUUGGUAAUAGAUGUGUGAUCAACAAGAAGUUCUGUCAAGGCUUCCAGUCCCUCCAUCUCGUCUAGCAAUAUUGUAAGUUUCUCACAACCUCUCAAGUCUAAUGAUAUUAAAUGCUUUAACUUACCAAUAGAUCUAUCAACUUGAACCAGUUUUGUGCACCGUUGAAGAAUCAAUCGUUCUGAAUUUUCAUGAGUAGAAAAGUCAGGAAUUCUACGCAAGUUUUUGCAUCCAGUCAAAUUUAGAACCUUCAAAUUCUUUGCCAUCUGUAAUGAAGAGGAGAUUAAUUCUGAAUCAUUUUGAGAUAUAGGACAGCAAAGUCAAUAGAGCAAAUUCAUGUCAAAACAAUACUGUACCUUGAGGUCGUUCCAUCCCUCCCACUCAUCAGUAAUUUCACUCCUUGAUAUAUCAAGAAUCAAUAGCUUCUUAAGAGAUUGUACAGUGAAUUUGAAAAAGACAGGAAAGUUAUCCUAUGAGAGCCAUCUCAAAUUCGGAAGCAUGAUUGGAUUCCUUUGGCAAAAGACAGGAAAGUUAUCCUAUGAGAGCCAUCUCAAAUUCGGAAGCAUGAUUGGAUUCCUUUGGCACAAGUUGGUAGAACAAAAAUGCUGAACGUUGUGCUCAUCCAAGUCUACAUGAUCCACUUGAAAUCUUAAAUUUGGUGGGCUUACAAAUUCUACCUUGAUGUCAUGAAAUGGAUUAUCAAAGUCUACACAAUCCUCUGGAAGAAAUGUUAAAUAUGUUUCAAAUUCUUCCUUCUCAAUGGAAACCUGAAAUUGAUGAUCAAAGUCUACACGAUCCACUUGAAGAAAUCUUAAAUUUGAUAGGCUUACAGAUUCUUCCUUUCCAAUGAAGUCCUGAAAUUGAUGAUCAAAUUUGAGACGUAUUGCUUCAACAUUCUCUCUUCCCUGCCAAAGCAAAAAAAAAAAAAACACGUUGAAGGCAUUCGAGUUGAACAACCUUGACAAAUAUACAUUUUAUUUAUAAUUUAAAAUUAAUUUAGAAUAUAAUUUAUAGAUGAGCAUAUGAUCGUGCUAAAGCACACAAGUAAUAACUUGGUUUAGAUAGAAGCAAAUAAGUAAAGUCAAUGCGUAUAACUCGUCUCUUUGAAUAGGAAUAACAUUGCAAACACGUUACCUCCUUUAUGUUAAGAACAUCAAUUGCCUCCUCAUGAUCCCACACCCGACUUUGCUUUUCUGGUUUAAAAUUAGCUCUUUCAUGAACGAUCUCUCGCGCAAGGUCCCUUAGCUGAUCAUGCACCCACAGCUGAUUACCUUCUACAAUCUUCAUUAAUGACAUCCGUUUGAGGGCUUCAAGAGCACAUUCAGGGAAAAGCUUACAGUUGUCUCACAUGUAAGUCACAAUUCUCACAUCAAACCCAACAAAGAAGCAAGAAACAUCAAGAAAUAUUUCCUUCUCUCGAUGUUCUAAUGCCUCAAAACUGAUUCUCAACUUACUUUUAACGUCUUUAUGGGGAAUAGUUUUCAACCUUUCUAAUGUGUUCACCCAAAAUUUUGUAUCUUUUCCAGCUAAAAAUGAACCUAUAAUCUCUAGAGCCAAAGGAAGACAACCACAGAUUUCCACCGCUUUUUCUGAGAGGGAGAUGUAUUCUACUGGAAGAUGAUCUCUUCUAAAGGCAUGUUUGCUGAACAAUAAAAGAGAAUGACUAAAAUCCAUUUCAGUAAGUUCGUGCUUCAAAUCAACAUCUUUGAGAACUUCCUCGUUUCUUGUAGUAAUAAUAACCUUACUUCCUCUGUCGAACCAGCAUUCACCCAUCCCCACAAGAGCCUCCAGUUGAGUGUUUUGGUCGACAUCAUCAAGUACAAGUAAAACCUUUUUAGAGGAUAACCUAUUCUUGAUCACAAUAAUUCCUUCAUUAAUACUAUUGAUGGAUGGCCAAUCCAUUCUUAGGACUUUAGAGAUGAGCUGAUUCUGCAAACUCGCAAUCUUUGUCUCUCGAAUGUUAGACAGGAAGCAACAAUUAUCAAAAUCAGCCGACAGUUUAUUAUAGACGAUUGUGGCAAGAGUUGUCUUUCCGACACCACCCAUACCGUGGAUGCCAACAAUCUUUGUUCCAGUGGUCUGUUCCCCUAUCUUUUCCAUGAUUUGGUCCACUUGAUCAUCCAUUUCAACCAAGUUAUCAGGUUCUGCCAAGUUGUCCUUUUUUAACUCGAUCAAUAGUGUCCGAACAACUUCUUCUGUGAACUCACCUUUGCCUCUGAUGGUAUUGAUGGCAAAAGAACGCAACUGUUAAAUCAAGAUGAGCAGAAUACUAUCUAAGGUACAAACAAAUCCUGAACAAUAAUAAAUUUAAGUACCUUUCAUUGAGUUCCCACCCUCUUAACGCUCCAACCUUGCUGAGAGCUGCCUUCCAGUUUUGAAUAGUCUCAUCAGUGUACCGCUGCCGCUUAUUUAUGUGUGAAUUAAUGGCCUCAUGGUAAUUUCCAAUUUGGUGACGAACCUCAGAUGGUGCAACAUUAUAGAAAAUUGGCAUGAUCUUUCGUCCCCACUUUUCCUUGCACUCCACCAUCUGGACCAACUCCAUGAGGCACCAUACACUGGUAGCAUACUGUUUGGAUAAGAUAGGAAUCAAGAUUUCUGACUGCUUAAUCGCUUGGACAAGCUCUGGGCCAAUCUCUUUCCCAAUGGGAAGCUCUUCAUUAUCUCUAUAUGCCCGUAUUCCAGCACGAAUGAGGCUGUUGUAAAGGUAAUCGGCAAUGUCACAGCGAGUGUCCGGUCCUCCGAAACUCAAGAAUACUUCAUAACCAGAUUCCGUUGGCUUCUCCAUUUUCUGAAAUCCCAAAGGACUUGCAAUGACCUGAUAAUAUUCCACAUGAAAAACAUUUACUAUGAAAGUGGAGUGAUGAUUAUCAUGAUUUCUCUCAUAAUCUCUUCUGUUUUAAAUCAUUUUAGAAAGAAACCAAGAUGAAAAAUGCACGAGCUCCUUCGUGGCCUUGCACUACACACCAAAACAUGUCUGUAUAUUUUAUUAAUCAUAUAGUAGAGAAGUGGACCCAUCUCAAUUCUAAAGGAAGAAAUUUCCAAAGUAUUGCAGAAUUAUGGGUUAUAGUUUACACCUGAAAUUGAUUCGAAAGAAGAACAUUUCAAGAAGAUAAAUCUCUGUCAGCUUAUUUUUGUCUUAAACUCUUUUGUUUAUGCGAUAAAAUUUCUCUUAAAAGGUGACCUUGAAUGUCCCCUGCACAUAAGUGUCUGCUGUUGCUUAUAGGUUGACUAAUUAUCUUAUUGUCUGAUAAGAAAUUAUGAUGAAUCCUUACUCUUUUAGUUUUUACCAAAAUAGUUUGACAGACAUUCCACAACCCUCAAUUAGUUGCUCCCUUGAUCUUAAAGGACGCAGCCAAAGAAUCGCAUUCCCCUAUGAUGAUCUCAUUGGAAAAGUGAAAUCAAGAAAUUUAACUGAAGCUAAUUCAAUCCUCACCACUGGACUAGUUUCUAAAGAGCAUAAACUGAUCUCUAAUUACAAUCAUCUCUUAGUAUAUUAACAUACAGGCACAGGGUCAAGGGGAGAGCAUUAGAAGCUAUCAUUCCCAUUUGUCAGAAAGUAUCAGCAUAUUAGAAAAAGAGGGGUGAAUUACUAACCAACAAUGGAGUUGAUGAUAUUUCAACAGAAGAAAGAAGCAUGAAUGCUAUAACUGGUUUUCCAGAAACUAAGUUUGAACACACAGGUGUGCAGGAACAAGAGCUGUACUUUACGGAAGUGGAGAGUUCCGGUUCACCACAGACUGCAACACUAUAGUCUAUUCAGUCUGCCUCUACUAUUACACACUAAGUUGAGGGUUUCAAUUUUCUGUCUGGAAGUGUUCUUACCACCUAUCACCAGACAACAGUGUACUAGUGUCACGGGCCGAAAGAUGGACGACCCGGGAGGUUCCCCGAGUCGACCCCAACUCGCCUGUGGACCUCGCCUGUGGACCUCCUGCUCUCACUCGGAUUCCCACCAAACCUUCUACUCGAAAUCUCCAAGGGCGGGCGAAACUGUCAUUGAGUCAUAUUCUAGAAGUCUGUUCCAUUAUUUAUGUCGGUAGACAGUAGUUAGACAUUAUGUCGGUAGUUGAAGCAGUGCGAUCUCGCCCGUUGGAUGAAAAGUAGAUCAACGGAUGUAAUCCGAGGCACUCAACUAUAAAAGGGGGUCCUCCCUCAUUUUGUAAUCAUCCAAUCCAUUUCAAAAAUAUCAAAGCUUUCCAUUCCUUUCAGAGCUCCUCUCUCUAACUUUCUCUCUCAACGAUCCGGGUAAGCGAGCGGGUAACCGUUCGAUCGAGCAAGGCUUGGCUUGGGUGAUCCAAAGUUGCCCGAGUCGCCGCGCGGUCACGAUCCCAAUUGAUCGGCCCGUGACACUAGUCUGUUGUAUCAAAAGUCUCUUAGAGACACCAGUAUCUUUGGUCGCACAAGAAAAAUCCCAUUAAAUAAAUCUAAUCAACCGAUUCCAUUCAAAGUAGUUCAGAGCGCCAGCCUAGUUCCUAAAGAGAGAAAUGCAAUCCCUAAUUACAGAACCAACAAGCUGAUGCAUAGAAGUGCCAUUGCGUUUCAGGAUCUGAAGCCUGACAGUUGCAAAAAUGGAUGCAGAUGAGCAGGGUUUAAGCACGUGACCAGAGUAAAAGGCUAAAACUACUAGUGUUUGAGGCAACUAGCAGUGAUCAAUCAUGGAGUCAACUGAGGAAAGAAUUGACGGUGAUCUGAGAGUCCCUCUCUUGUUUCCAUCAUAUUCCGCACCCAGUUGCAUUACACAACUGACCCAAUUCAUUAAAAAGAAGGCAAUCAACGAUAGGAAAUUACCGGAGAUGGGAGGGGUGAAGAUGAAGAGUCCGGGUCAAAUGCCGAGAAGCAGAUAGAGAUGCCAAGAAUGAACGUUCUUGGCUUUCGAGUUCAGAUGAAGAAAGACUUCUAUUAUAUACUCUACUCGCCCUCACGUGCCAUGCUCAUCCAAGAAGGAGACUCGACACUCACCCUCAUGUGCCGACCGCAGGUACAGAAAAUGAGUGAACUCGCCUUUCUUUUGAGGCAUUUGAGUUUUAGGUUAGGUUGAAAUUUCUCCGAGUCCAAAACAGUUUUCGGCUCAAAAGUCCUGUUAGUUUAGAGAUCAUAAUGACGACGAAACCUUCUUUCGUUGGUGAAAUCCUAGGCCCAUUUAAAUUAUUCAUUAAUCAAACCUACACAUUUUUAAGUAAUUUAGAUGGAUUAUGACGGAAAGUUAUUCACAAUAAAUUUACGAAACAAAAGUUAAUGAAAGUUGCAUCAAGCUACAAGAGGAUCAAGGUCCUAUUUGUUUCGUAAAAAAUGAAUAAUUAAAAAAAUAUUUUUUAAAAAUAAUUAAUUAUAUUACUUGAAAUCAUCAAUUAAUGAAAAAUAUUUUCAUUAAUAAUAAUUAAUGCCUAAAUAUUUUCGUGAAAUAUUUUUUAUUUAUUAAUUUCUAUAAGUGAUGCAAGUGAUCAUUUUUCAGAAAAUAUUUUUCAAAUCAUUCAUUUUUUGCAAAACAAACAUUCUUUAAAGCUCCAAAAAAUUUGUUAUGCAAAUGAAAAUUCAUCAACCAUGGAUGGUUCAAGUAAAACUUCCUAGAUAUGUGCUGUUUUCUCUUUCCGUUCGCAAUUCUUGGGGGCUCCUAUUGCAUUUUUUGCAGGUUUACAAGUAGAGAAUGGGAUUGCAUUGGAUCGUACAGCUUUUAGCUAUUCUUCUGCCUGCAAGCUUAGUUGAAUUUUGGGGUGAAAUGGGAAUGUCCAUAUUACCACUAGAAGUAAUCCCGAAAAUUAUUUUUUGACUAAGGAAUUUUUUUUAAAAUAAUUAUCAUAUUAUUUAGAUUUGAAUAGUCGAAUCAAUAGACAUUGGGAUUUGUUAUACACACACACACAUAUAUAAUCAGGAAAAUAUUAAUAAUGACGAAUUACAAAAUAUAAGUCAACUUAACUUAUUUUUAUAUAUUAUCUAUGAUUAAAGUAAAAUAAGAAAAAUAGAUUGAUAUACUGAUGCUAUUUAAUCAAUUAAAAAACUAUACCAUUAUAAUUUUCUUAAUUUUGAAACAAUGACUGGUAAAUUAAUUUAUAUUUCUAGUAUCAAGAUAUAAUCCUGUUGAAUAUCUAUACUAUGAAGAAAAUGCAAUCAUAUUGUAAAUACUAUGUUUAAAAUUGAUUUUUUUUUCUCAUAACAUUCUCACUGUUUUUUUUUUUUUUUUGGUAAAGCAUAACAUUCUCACCGUUUGUUGUUUAUACAAUCAAUAAAUGAGUCUCUAUUUCUUUUCGCUACCUACUUCUAUGUCAGCUUUCCUCAGAAUUCAUCUAUAGAAAGUAACGUAAGUAACGUGAGUUCUCGCUCUAUUUGAUUUCGUUAAUGCUUGGGUUCAUUUACGUAUUAUAUCUUUUUUUAUCAUACAAAACACAAUGCAAGGGAGGGAUAUGCACAAUAUUUUUAUGCAUCAAAAUUUAAUUAAUUCUUGUCCAACUUUAUUUAUGUUUAUGUGAGCAUUUGGUAAUUGAUAUAGUAAUAGUUGUUACACUGUUUUUCUUUCACAGAAAACGAAGCUAAUUAAUAAAAAUUAUAUUAAACUAAACUACAUCAAUUUGGAUUGAGUUUGCCUUCUCCGAUUUUUAAUUUUUGCUUCAUUUAAUUUACACUGCCCACGCACUUUAACUCUUUUUCAACGUCCCAAAACUUUCACAAUAGUUAGAUGUUAACACGUAAAUUUGUAUUUAUCUUUUCAUUUUUUUUAAAUCUGAAUAAUACUUCAACUUUUAAUAGAAAAAUAAAAUUUAUUUAUUUAUUUCCAAACAAAAUGGCAUUAAAGCCAUUAAUUUUCGCAUUUCUUAGGCACGAGGCUAUUGUUCACAUCUGCCAGAAAGUAUCAGCAUAUCAGAAGAAGAGGAGCGGAUUACUAAUCACUUAUGGAGCUAAUAAAAUUUCAACAAAACAAGGAAGCAUGGACGCUAUAACUGUUUUUCCAGUAAAAUAAGUUUGAACGCACGGCGUGUAGGGAUGAAAGCUGCAUUUCACAAAAGCUGAGAGUUCUGAUUUGCCAGAGUGCAACAUUAUAUACUCUUCAGUUUGUCAUUUCUGUUAAAUGUCGAGUUGAAGGUAUCAAUUUUCUGUCUAGGAGCGUUCUUUCUCACUACUUAUUUACCAGACAAUAACUAAUUUGUCUCCACAGUUAAACAAAUGAAAUCAACCGAUCCUAAUUCUAACUAAUUCAGCUUUGAGUGCUGGCCAGUUCCUAAAGAGUGUAAAUUGCAGUCCUGAAUUACAUAAACCUCUGAGUAUAUCAACAAGCUGAUGUAUAGGAGUGGGAUUCUGUUUCAAGAUCUGAGGCCUGACUAUUGCAUAGAUGGAAGCGGAUGAGCAGGGUUUACACAUGACUAGCAUUAUGCUAAAACUGUUGGUGUCAGAUACAAAUUGCAGUGAUCGAUCAUGGAGUCAACUAUGGAAAGAACCGAUACUGAUAUGAGAGCCCCUCUAUUGUUCUCAUCAAAUUAAUGGAAAAAGGCGAUAAAUGAGAGGAGAUUACCAAGGAUGGAGGAGUGAAGAUGAAGAGUCCGGAUCAAAUGCUAAGAAGCAGAUAAAGAUCCCCUAGAUCAAUCGUUCUUGGGUUUGAGCUCCGCUGAAGAAAGACUUUUCGCAAGAUGGCCCACUCACCCUCGCUUGCAAUGCUCUUCCAAGUAGGUGAGGACUUGCGAGUUGCAAGUGUACUUAAAGCCGAUCUUUGACAUUUGAUAUAACAGAGAUGAAGGCCGAUCGUUGGCUCUUGAUAUAAUAGAGAUGAAGGCCGGCCGUUGACUCUUGAUAUAAUAGAGAUCAAGGCCGGCCGUUGAGUAGAUAAAGAUCCCCCAGAUCAAUCGUUCUUGGGUUUGAGCUCCACUGAAGAAAGACUUUUCACAAGAUGGCCCACUCGCCUUCACUUACAAUGCUCUUCCAGGUAGGUGAGGACUUGCGAGUUGUAGAUGUACUUAAAGCCGAUCGGGGGUAAGUACACUAUUAGUGCCAAAACUUGUGUACGACGCUCAAUUUGGUGCCAAAACUUUAUUUUGGAUCACUUAAGUGCCAAAUCAAAGGAAAAACGAUUACUUUAAUGCCACCAGCGAGAGAUUCCUGUCAAAAUGAUUACGUGGCUUUUAUAUUUAGAAAAAUAAAAUCGACAAGGCUUUUAAACGAUGUCAUUUUCCGUCCUCCUUAAGAAAAUGACAUCGUUUUGCCGUCCUAAAUGGAUGGCCUCACAAAAACGACGCCGCACAACUCAUUUGGGGAUUGAAAUUAGGGUUUUUUUUGUCCGAUCCUCGCCCAACGCCGACCUAGCUUACUUGGCCGCCGUCGCUCGGCACUAUUUGGACACCCUCCACGAGCGCGUCAUUGCCGAUGCUCAACAACUUGUAGUUGCACUUGAGCACAAGAUUCGUGACCGAGUUGAACCAUGUGAAUAGUGCCGAGACCGCAUCCAGUAGCUCCGAGUUGGCAUGGAGAGCGAGCCUCUGGUGGCUCUGGCCUUCGAUCACGAGCCAGCGGCAGCACACAAGGGAGCACUGGCCCCAGUCGCCAGAGCCUAGGUACUGGAAGACGCAGGGCAAGCACUCGUUGGGGAGAUCAAACAUGGAGAGGGAGAGAUCAAGGGCAGCGCACUCGUCAAUGGCCUCCCUGAGCACCAGCCAAAUCACGGCCUUCAACUUGGCCACCGAGUGGCCGUCGGCAGGGUCAGGGUCGAGGUUGGAGCCGCGGCUAUCAAGCACGGGGGCCGUCGAGGACAGCAACUGGCCCGUCACCGGCUUAUCUUCUCUCUCUCAAUUUGGGGAUUUAGAGUUUUGAAUUGGGGGAGAGACACCAAACAGCGUCGUUUUGUUAUUUAAAUGCUGAAUUUACUCUCCGGCGAGCCACAUCAGCUUCAAAAAUUAAUAAAAAAGUGUCACGUCGGAUUUCCGACCAACUAGAUUGGCGUUGGCACUGAAAUGAUUAUUUUUCAAAAGUUUUGGCACUUAAAGUGAACGCCAUACAUAAGUUUUGGCACUAAUAGUGUACUUACCCCGAGCGAAUCGUUGACUUUUGAUAUAAUAGAGAUCAAGGCCAGCUGUUGGGCAGAUAAAGUACCCCCAGAUCAAUCGUUCUUGGGUUUGAGCUCCAUGGAAGACAGACUUUUCGCAAGAUGGCCUGCUCGCCCUUGCUUGCAAUGCUCUUCCAGGUAGGUGAGGACUUGCGAGUUGCAGGUGAACUUAAAGUUGAUCGUUGGCAUUUGAUAUAAUAGAGAUUAGGCCGACCGUUGACUUUUUAUAUAAUAGAGAUCAAGGCUGGCCAUUGACUUUUAAUAUUAUAGAGAUCAAGGCCGGCCGUUGAGCAGACAAAGAUCCCCUAGAUCAAUCGUUCUUGGGUUUGAGAUCCACUGAAGAAAGACUUUCCACAAGAUGGCCCACUCACCCUCACUUGGGUGGGUGAGGACUUGCGAGUUGCAAGUAUACUUAAAGCCGAUCGUUGACAUUUGAUAUAAUAAAGAUGAAGGCCAACCAUUGACUUUUGAUAUAAUAGAGAUCAAGGCCGGCCGUUGAGCAGAUAAAGAUCCCCCAGAUCAACAUUCUUGGGUUUGAGCUCCACUGAAUAAAGACUUUUCGCAAGAUGGCCCGCUCGCCCUCGCUUGCAAUGCUAUUCUAGGUAGGUGAGGACUUGCGAGUUGCAGGUGUACUUAAAGCCGAUCGUUGACAUUUGAUAUGAUCAAGGUUGGCCAUUGACUUUUGAUAUAAUAGAGAUGAAGUUCGGCAGUUGACUUUUGAUGUAAUCCGUUGACUUUUGAUAUAAUAGAGAUGAAGGCCGGCCAUUGAUUUUUGAUGUAAUCGAGGUGAAAGCCAGCUGUUGACUUGCCAAUGAUUUGUUGGCGCAAACCACCAGAGUUCUAAUAGACGAGAAUUAAUGCAUGUUAUUAGUUUGAAAAUCAUAUAAUUAUAUUGAUUGAUAUUCUUUUAAUGACGAUGAAACCGUUCUUUUGUUGUAGGUGAAACCCUAGGCUCAUUUAAAUUCAACAUAAAUUGAAUCUACAAAUGUAGAAUCCAUACCUUUUAGUCUUUGAGAUGAAUUAUAUUAUUCAUAGUAAACUUAUAAGACUAGAGUUAGGUUUUUAUGCUCCGUUUGUUUCAUGAAAAAAUAAAUAAUUUGGAAAAAAUUUCUUAAAAAUGAUUACUUGUAUCACAUAAAAUAAUUAGAUAAUAAAAAAUAUUUUCAUUGUAGACAAUAACUUAUGCCUAAAUAAUUUCACGGAUGAUGAAAAUAACUUUUAUUUAUUCAUUUUUGUAAGCAAUAUAAAUAAUUUUUUUAGCAAAAUCCUUUUGAAAUUAUCUACUUUCUGCAAAACAUGCAUACCUUUGAACUCUAAAAAGUUAUAUCGUCUAGAAAUUGAUAAAGCUCCGAAAAAGUUACAAUAUAAGUGGUAGUUUAUCGACAAUCAUUUUUUAAUCGGCUAUAGAAUCUCAUUACGUUCAUUAAAUAAGAGAGUAUAUCUCGGAUCUCCCCUGGGAGCAUAGAAAUACAACGACUUCCAAAAGAGAUACUGAAAAUCCUAAUUCUAAUCUAAGUAUAAAUUGGAAAAUUACGUGAAAAAUAUAAACCUUAGUCAAUAACCCUUUUGGGAAGAUGUGCAUAGCACAUCAUGCACGGCACACGUAGAGCACAUGCAAUAUGCAUGGCACAUGUAAGACACAUGAAAAUUUCAACGACUGUCGAGGAAAAAUGUGUCUGGGUUGCAUAGGGUUUAAGGCUCAAAUGGGCUAAAUUUAAGAAUUCAAUGAUUUAAAGAGCUCAAUUCGAAUGAAAUUCACAAAAUCGCCUCAGUUUAAAAUUUACUACAUUGAAAUUAUUGCGGAUCAAACGCUAAGAAGCGGAUAAAGAUGCCAGAGCCGAAGGAAGAGUUUUAUUAAAGAGUCUACUCACCUUCACGUGCCAUGCACUUGCAGGAAGGUAAGGAGUUGCUACUCAUCCCAGACGCAUUACAUUUUACAUACCUUGAACAUGAAAACAUAGAACUCAUACAUAUUAUCCACUUGAGAUGGAUUAUGUUAGACUUAUUCCCAAUAAAUUCAUAGAAAAGAAUUAGGUUUUAAUUUCAAAGGCUGCAUUUGGACACGAAGGAAUAAAGCACCAAAAAAUUUACAACGAGUCUUCAAAAAUAGCUACAGUUGAAAUAUUCCAGAUGAUAUAUUUAUGGUUUUGUCCCAAUUUAUUUCUCAUAUGCAGGUAACGGAAACUCUUUCAAAAUAGACAUCUCUCCAACCUGUUCAGAAGCCAUUUGAGUUGCUAAUAAAUCAACGUUUCCCUCAGCAUGGAGAACAGAGAAAGCGUAAGUUCUAGACACAAGGUUUGCGGUACACAUGACCUCUAUGAUCUCUGGCCAAAGCGGCAAUGGAGGCAUGAGAGUCUUGCAUCAAUGUUCACCUGAAGCAAGGGGGUAGGAGUCCAUUUUGGAGGGUCGUUGUUCACAACUCGUGACUACGAGCAACGUUCCAUCACAACUCAUGGUAGAUGUCCUGUAUAUGUCGAAUUACUGAAGGAAGAUCCAUUUGGGACCGAGCUUCCAGAAUUUUGUUUCCACGCUCCCAUAAAACCACUAAACUAUUUCGACCAUAUUGCGAAAAUCUUCGCAAUAAAUGUCAGGUGGAAGGCCGAAAGCGAGGAGGCGCAGAGAUCACAUAGCACACGUGUAAAAAACAGAACCGCAAAAGAAGUUGAUAUGUCCAAGCCCCAGCCACCUCGACUCCAUACAAUUCAGGUCAUCCACUCUUCCCCUUUUGUCGGCAAAUUUGACUGAUCAACGUUCUUCGAAGUAAAAAAGCAGUUUCGUUCUAACUGGAUCUUAGGGAGAAAUAUGACCUUUACCUAUGUAUGGAAUAAAUACGACAUCUUGGCCAUGGAAUGUUGACAAGACAUCGAAUGCAUUUUGUGCAGAUCUCAACAACCGAGAGCGGAUUCUUAUGAAGACUGUACUUCUGAUUAACUUGGAGGUCAAGGACAACCAUGAGGAGGCAGCAACUGGAGCUCAGCGUGCUUUAGAUCUUUGUCGAGAGGUCUUUCACUGGCUGUGCUUUAUGUAUUAAUGAUAGUAUGCUUGAUUUCUGUAUGCUGAGAAAUUGCUUAUUGUUUCUAAUUUUCAGAGGCAGAACAGGCGGAAAUUUUUAUUCAGCAUUUCCUUCUAUUGAUGACCGUGGUGAGGGCAAGACUAUUGUUCUGAAAGCUUUAUGAUCCAUGUCGUUGUUCUGUUAGUAUUUUGACUGCAAAUUUAUAUGUCGACGAACUGAACUUUGGGUUUCUGUUUGUCCAUCUACUUGCACAAGUGGUAAUAGACUUAAAUACAUUACCAGAUUUCUUCCAACGCUGUUACUGUUUGCUUUGCACGAAGCCUUCCCUAGAAAUCUUUCCUUUCUAAGCCCAGCGAGCCCUAUUUAAUCCAUUACACAGCUAAUCAUUUCAUUAUACCCUAUCCUGAAUUUGAUCUCUUCUUAUGUCAGGAAGACUGAAUCAGGCUCUCCCAUGUUUUUACGCCUUCGCUUGAUCUUGGUAUUCCAUGCCAAUUGUUGGGUUUGAUGAGCACUUUCCUUGACUACUCGUUAGUGGUAGGUCAUUUUGCAACAAUAUCUUUAUCUGCAUAAUGAGAAUUGUCAUUCUCACGCUUUGAAUUGAAUUUGCUACAGAAUCCUAUUCUUUGCUGUUAUUGCCAAGCCUGUCAUACUAAUGCGCUGCAUACAUCCACUUUCAGAUAACACUGCAUCGAUGUGGAAAAGAAAUUCUGAGUCGAACCUUUAUCCACUCACUUUAUCUCUGGAAUGUCGACGCAUGAUGAUGUAUUAGUAAUUGGAAGCAAGCCAGUCUUGCUUAGGAGUGAAAAUUCUAUUAUUUCUUGUAGUUUCUUUUUUUUUAAGUUCCUUUGUACUGCAGAACUAAUUCUGUGAUGGUACUCAUGUCGAGAGAGCGGAAAGAAAAGGAAUUCCGGCGUAUUGUAUAUAAUUUCUUUGAAUGCGAUGGGUUGAAAACCGCCUCUAUUUUCAUUUUUCUGUAUCGUGCAUAUGAAAAGAAAAACAAGAGAACAGAACCAACCUGACCUGGUCAGUCAUUUGAUGAUUUGGUUCUGUAUUUUUGGCAGGGUUCACAAUUCAAUCGAUCCUAUUUAUUUAAAAUGAGUUGGUUUUUGAAAAGAAAAUUACUAAAAAGCAGGAACUUCUAAUUUGAGUUCAUAUGGAAAUCGUCAGUUUUCUUGCUGGCUUGUUGGUCAUUCCUAGGAUCCUGUCCUUCAACUUGCUUUCCUCACUUCCUGAAUAAAAAUUCCCUUGCGUAUUCAUUUAAAAUAAUAGGCUCUGAUAAUUUGUCGAGAUUAGCUAGUACUGACACACAAAAGUCAUCUCCAUGUAUGGCUUGCACCAAGGUUUGCAGUUUCACAUCUCAAAGGGGAGGAUGCUUUCUAGACCUCAGUGCAAGUGUCUUUUUUGGAAUGUCUCAAAUGCCAGUCUCUUGAGCCAGUGAAUUCUUCUAUUCUGCUGUUCCUUCAAGCCGGUGAAUUAUUCUUCUUCUCUGCUGUUCCUUCGGGAAGACAAUGCAGUCCAUUGAUCCGUCUGUGGAAAUAAAAUUUCUCCUCUUUCUGAACCUUCAAUCUCCUCUGCGUUAAUUUGUAUAACACCGAAUAACACCGAACGCUCCAGUUAGUUGUGGUACGCUCUACCCUUAUGCAGAUCUUCUGCUCCUUAUGUCUAAAUAGACUUGUGUUUGCAUCGUGUUGGCUACAACCCAACAGUGCCAGUGAAACUCGGCCAAACAACAGUGUGCAUUAGACACAGAAAAGAGAGCUCUUCUGCUCACGCAUUUUAUCAAAUGUUACUAUGGUAUGAACGAUGAAGAGAAAUCAAAGGAUAAUGACUCUCCAUGAACUAACAAACAGCGGCAUCAGCCAGCAUUUCCAUUUCAGAAGACAUAAAGUCCAGUUCACUCAGCUCCUCAUGGGCCUCGUAGUCAUCCGUAAUGGCGACAUACCAAUCUCACUUCAUCUGUCCUAAGAGAUCUUAACAAAGAAUAAAUAUCCUCUUAUGAGGGUGCCUCUUGUCCUUGACAAUGAAGACAUGAACUUGACCCUGAAUUUCUAUCCAGCUACAGCCGGGCUGCUUGACUACUCCUUGUUGCCUCAUCAGCUUCCUUAUUCUGACGACAUUGCCCCAUUUUUUGCUUUCCGCGUACAUGUUUGAGAGCAGAACAUAAGGUCCGGAGUUCGAAGGGUCGAUCUCUAAGAGCUUAUCCGCUACGUGUUUUCCUAGCAUUAUAUCCUUAUGAACUCCCCAAAGGACAGCAUCAGCUUGCAUGGGCAUUGCCUCUAUUAAGUCCUUUGCUUCACUGAGACAACCGGAUCAGUCGAGCAAAUCAACCAUGCACAUAUAAUGGUCCUUUACCAGUGCCAGACCAUACUCCUCGACCAUCUGCUUGAAAUAAUGGCGCCCCUCUUUGACCAGCCCUGCAUGGCUGCAUGCACAGAGAACCCUGAUCAUAGUGACACAGUCUGGUCUCUCGCCAGAUACCAACAUUUUCCUGAAUAUUUGAAGCGCCUUUAUCCCGUAACCGUUCCACGCAUAUCCAACAAUUAUGGCAUUCCAUGAGACCUUGUCCCUCUCCAACAUAUUUUUGAAAACCCAUAAACCAUCUUCCACAGCUCCACAUUUAAUGUACAUGUCUAUAAGAGAAUUUCCAACAAAAAUAUUGGAUUCUUCUCCAGACUGGAAGCGAAAUCCGUGCUUCAAGACAUGAGCAUGAGCCUGCUGCCCCAACUGCAGAUCGGCAAGAUUUGCACACGCAUUGAGAAAAUUUCCAAAUGUGUAGUGCGUCGGCUCAAUGGCUUCCCUCUUCAAAAGGCGGAAUAAACCAAAUGCUCCUUCAUUCUCUCCAUUCUGGGUAUACCCUGCAAUAAGGGCAUUCCAAGAAACUACAUUCUUCUCCAUCAUCCUCGUGAACAUUACUCCUGCAGUUUUGAGACUUGCUGCUUUUGCAUACCCGCUUACCACAGAGGUGGCUGACACUAUAUCCCUGGUAGGCAUUCUGUCAAAAACUGCUCUGGCCUCACUAAUUCUAGAGCACUUAGAAUACAUAUCAACCAAUGCAUUUCCUAAAACAACAUCAUUUCAAAAUUUGUCACAUUUUACAACAUGGGCAUGAAUUUGCAUCCCUUCCCUAAAAGCCGACAGGCUAGCGCAUGCGCUGACCACACUGACCAAAGUGAACUCAUCUAUUUCAAACCCACAAUCCAUCAUGCUCACAAAAACCUCAAGAGCUUCACUGGCUGGACCAUUUUGUUCAUAGCAUGUAAUCAAGCUGUUCCAAGAAACUAUGUUUGGAGAACUCAUUUCAUCAAAAGCCUUCUGUGCACAAGCCACGUUCCCACACUUGUACAUGUCGAUAAGAGCAGAGCCCAUAUGAACAUCAGACGAGCACUCAGACUUUGAUAUCAAAGCCUGAAUCUGUUGGCCCAGAUGCAUAUCUGCUAACCCAGCACAUGCGCUAAGCGCACUACCAAAUGAGUACUCAUUAAGCACAUAAUUCUCCCUAUGCAUCUUACCAAAACAUUGCAGGGCUUCUUUGAAUCUUUCAUGCUGCGCAUAACCUGACAGCAUCGAAUUUCAUGAGCACUGGUCGGGUUCCGGCAUUGACCCAAAUAUCUUUUCCGCUUCAUCAAGAGACCCCGAUCUGAUCAACCCGCCUAAGAUUGCGUUCCACGUGAAGGUAUUCUUCUCGGGCAUUUUAUCGAACACCCUGCGGGCGUCGUCGAGGCACCCGCAUCUCGCGUAGAUGUCGAUGAGCCGGUUCUGGAUAAAAACCAGCGGAGAACGGGGUCUUGAUGAUCCGAGCGUGGAUGCGGCGUGUGUCGCGCGCUGACUUGGACAGGCCGCAGCUGUCCAGGAGCUUGGUGAAUGGGGUCGAGGUGGCGAAGGAGAGGCCGCCCGCCAGAGCCUUGACCCGCGCAUGCCUCGCCAUUCCAUCAUAUCAUCGUACGAAGCGAACUCUGUCGGAGAAGAUUCGCAUAGAUGCAAAUUGAGUGCGAUGGGGAGUUUCUGUUGACCGUACGGGCGGGAAUAUGUUGAGAGCGCUUAUAUGAAGAGGGAAGGCAAAGUCGCAGUGGCAAAAUGGUAAUUUCGGCAUGACAAUAUAUUAAUUAGACUCGUGACCAUGAAUUAUUUUGUUGGUUAUGAGUAAAUCUAAGCUACAAAUUAAAAUGUGUCGUAGAUUUAAUAUCUUGUUGUAAGUCACUAAAUCAAGAUUAGUCAUAUGUAUAAUAUGUACAACUUAUUGCUUUAUCAACUAUAAUUAUAAGUUUAAUAUAGGAUAAGUCAAUUUUAUAACCGAGUUAUUUACAAAUCAAACAUAAAUUCUCAUUUUGAUUAUUUUAAGUAAUUCAUCAUUAAAAAAAUGCAAAAAGCAAUUCUAGAGAAUGAAAAUUGGAUCUACGCCGGAUUACAUGGGAUAGCUUUUCAAUGGUCCUCCUCCCAUGAGGAAUAGCUAACCUUGAUUUUAAGAGUAUAGCAACUUCUCUAAAGUAACUAAUCUUGAUUUACUUCUUAGCCAACUAAGGACUAAGUGUCUCAUCAUGAAUAGGCCAGAAAUAGAUAGUUUUUGUGUCGUUCUUGGAUUAAUCCAAAGUACUACUCAUUUUGGUCCGUCCCAUUUUGAGUCUCAUGGUUUUGUCCUUCAAGCAUACGGGCAAACACUUUUUCAAUAGACUAUUGUGACAUUUUUGGAUUAAUUCACUUGAAAUAUUAUCCGCUUUUACCCAUCUCAUUCCAAGUCUCACGAUUUUGUCUUUGGGCAUAUAGGUAGACACUUUCUGAGAAGGUAAACCCAUGUUAAUAAUAUUCUAGUCUAAUCACACUCAACUUUGGAGUGGAAUUACCAGAUAGGUGCAGUGCCUACCCAUAAGCUAAAGGACAAAACCGUUUGGGUCAGGAGAUCGUCUUGUUUUGGUAAGAAAAAUCAAUUAACCUUCUAAAGUGUGCGUUCAUGUGAGCCCCUUGCAAGGGAGAGCUUCGUGAUAAGAAAUGAAGCCCAUCUGAAUCCACAUCCAAUUUUUCAAGGCUUUGCAACUCUUUCGGCUUUAUGCGACCAAGAACCGUCACAGCUGAGAGUUGUCUCAGGUUUUAGAAAGGUCUAUUGAUGUUCUUAUUUCCUGGCGAAGUAGGAUAUGUAAGACAGACAAAACUCAUGGGAAGUCUAGGCAAGAACCUGAGGUUCUUAAAAAUCGAGAACAAGUUUCCUGAGCUUGCAACUCCAAGGACUUCGGAUGGCGUAACCUGUCAAUCCACCGAGGAUCAUGGAGCUUCCUCAAGCCCGUAACUGUCAUAAGAAUACCUCGACACAUAUAAAUGCAAGCUUCUCGGAUUUAAUUGGUACGGGAGAUCUGGAAAUAUGUACAUUGAGAAAAUUACAAGCAUAGAUUAAUUCCAAGCCCACAACACCGUAGAAUUUUGCCCUAAAGAUUCAUACAUUCUCUACUUCUGCAAAAAGAACUUAAAUCCCAACUGAUAAUUUCAAUUGUUCAAACAUGAAACGCAAUCAUUAAUCAUUCAGAAGCCCCUAUAGAAAUCUGUUCUAAGUCAUCAAAACGAAAGGACCUUUGUGACCAUUGCACAUGAUGACUUAUCAAAACCAAAGGACCUUUGUGACCAUUGCACUUGACCAUUAAAUAGUGAGGGCUAUGUUCAUGCUAGACAAGAUGUUUUGCCCCUACUUCUUCAUUUUCUCAAUGUGGAGAUUUUCAUGGGAAAUCCGCAACAAUUCUGUGAAUAUGGUCAUCGAUGUCUAAUGGAAUUCACGACACUGAAUGCAACACAUUGAACAUUAAUCUCUGCAAAUGAAUUCUGAAGCAAGUCAUCUUGAAUCCUUGAUGAAUUUCUCCCAUGAUGAGAUUAAUUACUAAUUGUACCCACUAAAAAUUUUAGAAGUAGGACCAUAACAGACCCAAAAAGGAAGAAAAAUUUCAGAACCAAUCGAUUAUAGUAAGUUUUCAUGCCUUCCAGGACAAUGAUUCGGUUUUAGCUAGAGUUAACAAGCUCAGAAGAACAACUGCUUCCCAUGCAUGUUUUGAACUACUUCCUAAGGAGCGAAAAUCAAUUCUCUAAUUGGUGCAGAAGUGAACUGAUGCACAGGAGUUGCAAUGUGUUUCAAUAGAAUGUGAUUUGGUUAAGGCUAAAGCUAUCAAAGAUUAGAUGCGCAGAUGGAACAAUAUCAAUUGAGUCAGCUGCCGAGUGGGUUCAUUGAAAGGCUGUUUUCAUUCCGUAUAUAUGAUAAGUCAUGACUGAAAAUAAUAAGAACUCAAUCCGUCCAAAUCUUUUCCUAAUUUAUCACUGAUUGCAUUAAAGAUUUGCACACGGACCCAAUUCAUGUAACAGCAAAGAGACAAUUACCAGAAAAGGAAUACAGGAGAACUGCGUCUAUACAGAGUUUUGAGCUGCUGGCCAACCACUGAAAUCAGGUGCGCAACCAACAUUUACUUUCUACCAUUAACCAAACUCAGAAGUCCAAGAGAUAAAAGUAUCUUAAAAACAACAAAAAGAUACUCUAAGUUGGAUUCCGCAAGAUCAGGCUGCGUCUAUUCCUCAAGUACUUCACUGAUCAUCAGCACUCAAGAGAACAUUCUACCUUCUCACGCUUGAGUGUAUAAAAUGAUUUUAGCUUCUUGAUCCGGUAACUUCUCCAAAGAUUUAAAAGGAACCUAUCGAAAGUUGCCUCCAACGAUUUUACUCUGCCUUGGAUCUCAGCCACUUUAGGACAUCACUGCAGAUAAAAUUUCUGGAGCUUCUUCAAGUUGGUCAGGUCAGGCAACUUGUCCAUAGAUAGAACUCCUUCAAGCUUGAAGGCACUCGGGCUCUCCAAAACUUGGAGGCCUCUGAACUCUCUCACUUUAGGGCAAUGAGCAACUUCCAACUCUGACAGCGCCUUCCAAUUUGAAACGUCUAUUGAUGUUUUUAUUUCCUUGCAUGAUUCGGUAUCUAAGUACAACAAAUUUGGGGCAAGGCUAGGUUGGCAGUGCAGCUUCUUGGAGGGGACCAGUUCAGGUUCCUUGAGCUGUGAAAGAAAAAUGAUGUCUGNN
rnacentral:lncRNA from 1 species